rnacentral:lncRNA from 1 species
UCAGAUAACCCAUAACAAAGGAUAGAUCUUCUCCACUAGGCUAUCCUCUUAGGGCUUUUCCUCAAUCUAAGGAAGAAGGUAAACAUCAUAUCUGAUAUACCUCUUGGGACAAUUGUAUCAAUUCAAGAUAAUAAUGCCCUCUUAAAUUCAAUGCAAGGGGUGAAGGCAUGUUUGGCUGAAUUCCUCAUACAAAGAAUACAACAAUCAAGGCUAUUGGCUUUAUGGGGCCUUUUGUACUAAAGUAAAUCCCCUCUCAUAUAAAGGAAAGGAUAUUCUACAAGAAGAAAAAAAACAUGAAGGAAAACAAACAACCAGCCUCCAAAAAGGCCUAACUAAAAAAAAAGGGGAUAAACAGAAAAUACAUUAGAGAGAAUAAAAUUCACAACAGACUCCUCUGACAAAUUAACCUUCUAAUUAAUCAAACAAUUUGCUUUCUGAUUAGCCAACCUUAUUUUCCAAGUGAAGGAGCACCCUAGACAUUUGAAAGGGUUGACAGUCGUCUAUGGUUGAGAUCAUAUCUUGGAGGUCCUUUCUUCCCUAAAGGCAUUGAAGAAGAGAAAAGUCAUUGAUUCUUCCUUUACCAAAAGGUGACUAGCUCUUAACAAGGAAGCCUCAAUCAUAUCUUCCAUUAAGUUAGAAUCUUCAUUCAAUCACUAAAACAAACAACUAAAUUUGGAUAGGACUACUCAUUUUUCCCCUGUAUAGUCUUUGAGCAAUCAACCAAUUGCCAUCUGCCUUGAGUUUUCUUGAACAACCAUCAAAGUGCAGUUUCAGGCUGACAAAAAACCUCUCCAUUGUCCAACAUGAUCAAACUAAUGGAAAUGAUCUAAACCUUUUUAGUGAUGGACACCUAAGAGUAAAAAUCUUGACAUUUCUCUCAAUCUAAAUCUCCCAAACAGUGGCUAAUAUAACUUUCCACCACAACAUUGUCCUUUUAUGUUUCCCUUGAUAUCAUGUAAAGUAAUAGGCAACACAUUUGUAAUAUAUCUCGGGGGAUCCCAAAAACCACUAAUCAAAAGGACUGACUUCUACCACAAUCAAAGGCUAUAGGAUAGAAAAGGAAAGCAAGGUGAGAAGUCACCCCAAUCUCUAUGAUAAAGAAAAAAUGGUUAUGACUGAUAGCUUCGUAGCAAUUCAUUGGUAUUCACCUUCUUGCCAACCCUUAAACAUGUGAAGGCUCUAAUUUAUGAAAGAAUUUUAGACUUUCCAAUAAAACUUGUGACUCGAGAGAAGACUCUUGGAUUGUUACUUUUAAAGUAUAGGAGUAACCUACAAAGGAGGUAGACAUGAGGUUAAAGCAAGUAAAAGGGUUGUUCUCACACGAUAGAGCCUCCUAAAACUAGAUUUUCAAUCCAUUACCAAAAAUGGAUGUAACAUUUUUUUUAUUUUGAUUAAAGGAAACUUUGUCUAUGGCUAUUAUUUUAUGCCAUUUGUUAGAAACUCAAAAACUUUUCAAUGAAGAUUGGAUUCCAAGUCUUAAUGUCAAAUCUUUUCUUUUACAAAUAAAUAAAACAAAAAAGAAAAAAGAAAAAAGAAAAAGAAAAGAAGUGUAAUAAAGAGAUUAAAAAUAUGUAAAGAAUGAUGAGAGAUCCUUCCAACAAAAAGAACACAAAACAAAACAAGAAAAAGCUAAGAACUUGAUUUGCAAUCUAUUGAAAGAAUGCUAAAAGGAAUUCUAAGAACUCCCUUAAUAAUACACAUGUAAAGAUUUGUGUAGUGACAAGAUUUUUUCAAGCAUCUUCCCUUGAUCUCCACUUGUUAUUAAAAAUCCAAGUGUCCUCUAUAUAACUUAAAAAGUAAGAAUAGACCUUCUCCACAAGGCUACCCUCCUAAUGCCUUUCCUAAAUUUAAGGGAGAGGAUAACCUAUUAGGAUUCUAGCUAUACCAAUCUAAGGUGAUUCCUUAGAAAAGGGGGGUUGGGGGUGAAUAUGGUGAUGACCUCUUUUUUCAAAUUAUGAGAAAUUAACUAUGAUGAAUGUAAGAGACAAAUAAGUAACAAUAUAAUAAAAACAGUAAAGAACAAUUGCAUAUAAAUAAAGAAAGUAAGGAAUAAAGAAAAUUCAAACUCAAAAUUUAUAGUGGUUCAACCUAAUCUCAGCCUACAUCCACUCUCCUCUAACUUCAAUCCUAGUUUGAUUUCCACUUAUUGAGGCUUCCAAACCAACCCUUCAAGCUUUAUACUUGGAUUAAUUGACUUCAAUGGGCACUUACAAUAUUCCUCAAGAGAUAUUUCACUCUUGAACUCUGUAAGUGAUGCUUCAUAUUUAGAUUUUUCUCUCCAAUGAUAUCCCACACUUAAACUCACCUUACAAGAAAUGAAUUUCUAAAUACAAAUUCCUAGUUUACAAAGUUUUGCUCCAAAAAUACAAGGAAAUUAGGAUUAAGAGGUGCACUAAGAAUGAAAUGUAAGUUUAAGCUUAAUGCACUCAAAAUAUUUUCCUAAGGCUCAAAAGAUGAUUGAAUAAUAGUUAGGAACUUUUUUCUCUUUUAUAAAUGAAACAUAAAGCCUUUAUAUGGAAGUUAAAAUGUCAAACUAACUAUUAGAAAUAAGCCUCUUUGAAUCGGAUGUCCAUGUGGUCAUUUAUAAUAACCUUUGGAGUAUUUAAUGAGGUGCAAAGAGCUGUUGAAGGCCAAAAGACAGAUAUGGACAUCCAUGUAGUUGUCCACAUUGCUAAGUGGUCAUCCAAGUGGGCAUCCACAUGGCUUCUAGUAGCCAAAAAUCACUUUUGAGGGUAAAUGGUUGUCUGGGUGGGCAUCCACUUUGCUUCCAAUAGCCAUUUUGUCCCAAAACAGAGUAAGUGGACAAUUGCCUAGACAUCCACAUGACAAUUGGAUGACCGCAUGGACAUCCACAUGACAACUGGAUGACCGUUUGGUCAUUCGCAUGUGCUUUAACCCAAUAUUUUUGAAAGUUCAUGUAUGUUUUAGGGUUAACACCUUUUUUAACUAACUCAUGUGAAUGUAGACGACCUUCUAACAAAGUCUUUAACUAAUAUUUUGAGAAAUUUUCAAGUUUAAAGCACUUCGGUCAAGAUAAUAAUGUUUUUAAAAAACCUGUAAAGAUUUUCAUGAAAAGCUUGGGUUCAAGGUAGUCUCCUACGUUAGGUAGGUCUUUUUAUCCUCAAAAUAACUUUCAUCCAAAUUAUAAAAGUAUAAAAGCAAUCAUAAACUUAUGGAUGAAUUUUUAGGUGCUUAAUAAAAAUAUGCAAUUCUAACUUAGUGCAUCCAUCAUCUUAUAUAAAAUAUCUUAACAAUAAACUUGAUAAACCUUUUCUUGAAAUCCUUUUGAUUUUCUCUUUUGCUCCAUAUUUCUUCUUCUUUGAUGACUCUAAGGAGAUCUCCUUGCUUAUAAUAUGACCAUUAGAUACAAACUUUAUUUUGUUGUUAUCAAAAUCGAUAUUAACCAAACCUUGGUGUAACAUAUCUAUCUUACUUGAUACCUAUUGCAACAACCUAGAUAACAUCAAUCCAAGAGAAUGACUUCCUCUAUAAAUUUGAUGCAAAGGAGCACAAAAGGUGAUUAGCAAAUCCCCACAAUAGAGAAUACAACAAUCAAUGCUAUUGGCAUUAUAGGUUCUUUUGUGCUUAAGUAAAUCAUUACUAUUGACCUUAUUACAAACCAUGUAACUUAUAGGGAAGUUUUUGAGUUCCUAUUGGAGGGAAAAGAUAAUUCAAGGGCCACUUGCUUGUCUACACAUUGUAAGAGAGACCACCCUCCCUAUGUUAUGAGGAUUAAAAUUUACCCUAUGAAUGUGCUUUUGUCUAAGUUGAUCUAAAGGUCUGAUACUACGCUAAAGUUUGAUAAUAAGCAUAAAAUGGUGGACACACUCUUCUUUUAUGCUAGAGAUGAGGAUAGUAGCAUCUAAGAACUUCAAUUGUGAUACUCUCAGUCUGGUAUCAUUGGGGAAUUGCAAAUGUGAGACUCUCACUUUAUCUUUGUCACCCUCAACUAGACCAUAAACCACAACUCUACCAAUUAAUCUACCAAGAGCAUUGACCAUGACAACAAAUAAGGAAGGAAACAAACGUUCUCCAUAAUGAAUACCUUCCAACCCAAUUGUCCAACUUUUAGCAUUGUCCUUAACAAGAAUUGCAAAGUCAUUUGGGGAUAGAUCCACUUUUGCCACCUAAUAUCUCAUAGAGGAUAUGGUCUAGGCACCUCAACCAUAUUAUCGUGCCUUCAAAAUCCACCUUAAAGGCAACUCCAAUUGUGCCAGAUCUCCAUCUAUCAUUCACAAUCUCAUCUGCUAUGAACACCUCAUCAUGGAUUUGUCUACCUUUAAGAAAAAAAACAAUCCCUUUGAAAAUGAAAUGGUAUCAUGGAGCACCGCUUCAAGACACUUUGGGAGAACCUUCUUAAAGAUCUUGUAGAGAUUAGUCACCAAAAUAAUAGCUAUGAGCACCUCUGAUAAAAAAAAAAAAAAAAAUGCGGUAUGAGCACCUCAACCACAUUGUCAUGUCUUUUCUUCCUAUUCUAAUUAGAUGCAAUGGAGAAGAUAUCAUUAUUUGGAUAGCUGGUAAUAUCUAGUUUUGGACCAUAUGAUAUUAAUAUUGUUUCUAACUCAAAGUGACUAUAAAAUGUACUUACUGGUCUUUAUUUACAUGCAUUGCUAUUUGAAAUUAUGAAUAUGCAUUUUACAUAAUACUUGCUUCAUGCAUACAUAACUCAGGUGUAUACUUGAUUCACAUCUAUAUCUAAUUUAUGGCUUGUGUUUCUUCUGGAAAAUGUAGCUAUUGAGCUUCUUAUCUGAGAUUCCAUCUGUACGUCUUGUAGUGGUAAGUAAUCUUAGAACCUCAUCAUGAAAUGCUUGACCAAUAUAUAAAUAUGCUGAAUGCUAAUUUCCCAGUUAUCUUUCUCUUUUAUUUGCAUCUUGUUCCUACGUGGUUCAGGUUGUGGGAGGGAUUGAUGAACAUGUGCCCUCCCUUCCAUCAAAUUCUCAGGUUAAGCUUAUUUCAUUUGCAAAACUUCUUAGUCAGGUACUUCCAAAAUUUCCUCCCCUUGAUAUUUUUUUUGCUGAUAGAUUUUGGAUGUUGCCCUGAACCGAUGUCUUGAGUGUGUAGAAUAACAUAAAAUUAAGAAAGGUGUAGUUUAGAAUUUAACUUCUACAAAUACUUUAACUUAUGCCUAGCUCUUGAUUUCUUGUUCAUUCAAGGAAGUGUAACCUCAUAGCAUGCAUAAUAUAAGGAUGCAGGUAGAAUAGGAGGACAUCUGCUCUUGAGACAUGGGAUGAAGAGGAGAUUUUAAUUAGAUUUGCUCUCUUCUAAAGUUUGGUUAUGGAAAGAAAGGACAAUAUCUGAUUAGACAUAGGGAUAUGACGACUCCUAAUCAAAUUAGAAAAGACCAAAAAAUAAACAACUAAACUCAACUAUAAUAAUAAAUAAAUAAAAAGUUCAACUAAACAUAUGAAAUGCCAAAAUUACUAAACUAUUUUUGCUGAAUGCUUUUCCAUUUUCUUUUGAAGUCUUCAAAGGUUGCCUUCCACAUUGUUCACAACCAUAAACUUCUCUUGAAGCUUAAAUCAAAUGCCCAACAAAGAUGAGUGAAAGAGAGUAAAAGGAAAAAACCUCUGAUCAUUAAUCCCUCCAUGGAUUUGCAUCCUGAUGUCUUCUCAGCUAGAAGGUCAUGCAAGCUUCUAUUACCGUUGAAUAGCAUAAUUAUGGUGUUACUAAUAUUUAACCUUUUAAAUGUUUUACUGGCAAUGUAAAUCAAGAUUUUUGGGAUAUAAAAAUUGAAGACAACCAAGUAGCACUAUUUCAUGCGUAAUAUUUCUUAUUUGUGACAUUGCUAUCAAUAUCAAGUACCUAUUCCUAUUUUCCUGCAUGUUUCCUAUAUCCACUUGAAUAUUUUUAGAAUGUUUUUUUAGAAGAAAUGUCUUGCCUAUUUCUUUAGAUUCUACUAUUAUUCCCCACCUAAACUAAUAUUGCACAUAAUUGAUACAAAAUGCUGCUUUAGAUUUUGAAUGUCAAUUUAUAUUGAGAAGCUAAAUGUUUCAUUGUGGUAUGAAUGGUUUCUUUUAGGGCCACAGUGAUCUUCAGCCAUUUUGUCCUCCCAAGCCUGAAGACAUUGCAACCAUAUGCUACACGAGUGGUACUACAGGGACGCCAAAGGUAGUGCAUUUGUGGUUUCUGAACUUAAUUUCUCAGGUCUUGAAGCUAAAGCCUCCUCCUUCUAAUGAUUUGGGUGCCUACAUUUCUUACUAGUCUCUCUCUUCUUUCUUUUCUUUUUUGGGAAAGGGAGUUAUACUGACACAUGGAAACUUAAUUGCAACUAUUGCUGGUGCUAGCCUUACCCUUAAAUUCUGCCCCUCGGACAUGUGAGUUCUAUCAUUCAAAUUGUUGUACGAUAUCAGGAAUAAUUGUUUCAAUAGAGUUUGACCUAACGGGAGUAGAUAUUUCUUUUUAACUAUCUUUGUUGAUACCCGUGCUAUUUUUGACAGUUACAUAUCAUAUCUUCCUUUGGCACAUAUCUAUGAACGAGCAAAUCAAGUUUUGCUGGCAUACUAUGGUGGUGCUGUUGGCUUCUACCAAGGGGUAUCUUUUAUAUAUAUAUAUAUAUAUAUAUAUAUAUAUAUAUAUAUAUAUAUAUAUAUAUAUAUAUAUAUAUAUAUUUAUUUUCUGCACAGGAAGCAAGAAUGUUGUAUAAAGGGGAAAAGAUGUGUUGGAAUUGUCUUGAAGUUCUAAUUUGAUUCAAUUUCUAAUUUAAUGAAAAUUCUUUUUCAUAGAGAAUAGUUUAUGAAUAUGUCAUUUAUGAUAUUUCCUUAUGAAAAUAGAUGUCUUUAUUAAAUAAAGAAAGAUGAGAGGAAUAUAUUUAUAAAUAUUCUAGGUCAUAAAGGAAUCGGGGAUGAAGCGUGGUCUGUGAAGCCGACCAAGCGGGGAGGUCAGGGGUGAUGCGGAUGCACGCACCAGGGCGGAAGUGGAAGAGAUGGUGUGUGCGGGGGUCGAGGAGCAGUGUCGGUCAGUGGAUGGGACUGGACGGCAGGCGUAGGGAGUGGGCUUCGACGUGACGGGCCCCUAAGCUCAAGUGGGUCUGCUAACCCGGCCUUUCUCGGAUGUUGGGCUGUCGUCGUCAGGCCUGGUUUCAAAAUGGGCUACUGGGUUGUCAUUCCCCUCAGUGGGUAAAGCCUUAAAGGGGGCUGAGUUUGGGCAGUCGCGUCCCAUGGGCACGGGGUGGGCCGCAACUUCUGGGCCGGCCGUUUCUUAUAGGGAAAGGCUUGGCCCAUCUCAGGCCCAGCCUUUUGAAAGUGGGCUUCUUUUAAAAGCCUGUCCCCUAAAUAUCUCUGGCUAUAGCAAGGGAUGCAAUUUGGAGUUGGAGUUCGCCAGAUUCCGUGAGAAAUAAGUUGGGAGGAGGCAGCAGCCGGACUUACACCGCACAAUGGCAAAUAGUGUGCUAGAGGAAGAAGCUGCAAGGUAUGGGUUAGUUAUAAAUUCAAAGGGUAUAAGGGCACUAGGGUCUUCCUCUUCUAAUUUCUUUUAUUUUGGUUGGACUCCGAAGAGGGAGUAUUACGACUAUUCAGGGGCGCUAAGGGAGGGCAUUUAGGAAGGAAGUGGGUUACGAAAACCAAUUGCAGAUGAGCACGCUGAGAAAGGGGAUGGCUGUUGGGACUUGGUAGAGGUCAACAACGCCGACCCUUUGGAAAGGAAUUCGGGGUGGACUAUAGGCCAGACUGAAUCCCAAGAAGGAAGGAAGGAAAAACAGCUUAAUUAGGAGGAAAAUAGUCUGGUUAAGUUCAGUCAUUUUUUAGGCUUAUCAACUGAAGGGUUGGAGAAGGAAAUUUUGAACUUCUUGGGCAAAAUCAGGAAAAUGAGGGAGAAGAUACACAGUAAAGGUCUGCUGGAGAAUUCAAGAUUUGAAAGGGAGCUUAAGAGGCUGGAGUGUUCAAUUAAUUAUGAGGGGGAUGUUAAGAAAAAAGGUCCUAUUCAGGGCAGAGGGAACCAGAUCGCAGUUGCCCAAUGAACCUAAAAAUAUUGAGUUGGAAUGUGAGGGGAGUGAAUGAUAGUUCCAAAAUGAAAUUAAUUAAGUCCGUUGUAAGAAAACAAAAGGUGGAUUUGUUUUGUAUUCAAGAGACAAAGAUGCAAGUAAUGUCUAAAAGGGUGGUGAGAAGCUUAGGCCCGGGGAGAUUUCUAGACUGGAGGGCCUUGAAUGCUAUGGGAUCGGCAGGGGGUGUCUUGAUAUGCUGGGAUAAAAGAUCGCUAGAGAUUUUGGAUUGGGAAGAGGGCCAAUUCUCCAUCUCCUGCAGAUUCAAGAAUAUGGGAGAUGGUGUGGUCUGGGUGUUUACGGGGGUCUAUGGCCCUUUCUCCAGAGAAGAAAGGGAGUGUCUGUGGGAGGAGAAUGGAGCAAUCAGAGAAUUGUGGGAGGAACGUUGGUGCUUAGGGGACAAUUUUAAUACGAUCCUUUACCAAUCUAAAAGGAGUAGAAAUGGGAGAAUCACCUCAGUUAUGAGGAGAUUUGCCCAAAUCAUAAAUGAUUUAGGGCUAGUUGAUAUCCCAUUACAAGGAGGAUCUUUUACCUGGAGUGGGGGGCUCAAUAAUCAGUCAUGGGCUAGGUUGGAUAGAUCCCUUGUGACCCCCAGUUGGUUUAACUAGUACAGUAGGGUCUCUCAAAGAAGACUACCUCACCCUACCUCAGAUCACUUUCUUGUUCUUCUUGAGGGGGGUGGGCUAAGAAAAUGUCCUUCCCCAUUCAGAUUUGAAAAUAUGUGGCUCAAAGUUGAGAGGUUCAAAGACCUAAUUGGGGGUUGGUGGCAAGGGAUUGUGGUUAGAGGCAGUCCUAGCUACAGAUUGGCUGUUAAGUUGAAGGAGUUGAAACAAAAUCUAAAAAUUUGGAACAGAGAGGUGCUCAGAAGUUUGGAGAGAAAUAAAGUUGAAGCUCUCCAACAAGUGGAGCUUUGGGAUUUAGUGGAAGGGGAGAGAAGCUUAACAGAGGAGGAAUUAAGCCGCAAAAAGAAAGCAAAGGAGGGUUAUGCUAAGUGGGUGUCGCUAGAAGAAACCCAUUGGAGGUAGUUAUCAAGGGAAUUAUGGCUAAGGGAAGGGGAUAGAAACACGGGGUAUUUUCACCGUAUGGCUAAUGACCAUAGAAGAGUUAAUUUCCUGAAUAAAAUAAAGAUAAAUGGGGUGAGGCUUUCAAAGGAACAAGAAGUGAGGGAAGGGAUUGCAAACGCCUAUCAGCAGUUGCUCUCUGAUAGUUUUGGUUGGAAGGCAGAUAUAGGGGGUCUGCUGCUAAAGCAGAUCAGUUAGUCAGAAGCAGAAGUCCUGGAGCUCCCGUUUUCUGAGCUUGAGAUUCAUGCAGCCUUAAUGAGGAUGAAUGGGGACAAAGCCCUAGGUCUGGACAGGUUCACGGUGGUUUUUUGGCAAAACUGCCGGGAGACUGUUAAGAAGGAAGUUUUGGAUAUGUUCAAGGAGUUCCAUGAGCAGAACUCCUUCAUUAAGAGCCUAAAUAAUACGUUUCUGGUUUUUUUACCGAAGAAAGGAGGGGCGGAGGACCCAGGCGACUAUAGGCCCAUCAGCUUGUUAGGGGGAUUGUACAAAUUGUUGGCUAAGGUGCUGGCCAACAGGCUUAAAAAAGUGAUAGGAAAGGUGGUGUCACCCAAUCAAAAUGCAUUUAUUAAGGGGAGACAGAUUCUUGACGCCUCCUUAAUCGCAAAUGAGGUAAUAGAUUCAUGGCAAAAAAUGGGAGAGAAAGACCUAAUUUGUAAAUUGGACAUAGAGAAGGCGUACAACAGCAUCAAUUGGCAAUUUUUUGUUGAAGGUUAUGCAAAAAAUGGGAUUUGGGCCAAAGUGGUUGGGAUGGAUGUGGAGUUGCAUAUCUAUUGCCAAAUUCUCAGUGUUGGUGAACGGUGUGCCAAUUGGAUUUUUCUCAAGUUCGAAAGGGUUGCAUCAAGGGGACCCUCUAUCCCCCUACUUGUUCGUCAUGGGAAUGGAAGUGCUAAGUGUGCUUAUCACGAGAGCUGUUGAAGGGGGUUUUAUCUCUGCGUGUAGCAUUUGGCGAGGUAGAGGGUAGGCUGUCAAUAUAUCUCAUUUACUUUUUGUGGAUGAUAUAGUAGUUUUUUGUGAGGCAAGGAAAGAGUAUUUAACGCAUUUGAGUUGGAUACUUUUUUGCUUUGAAGCGGCUUCAGGGUUAAAGAUUAAUUUGGACAAAAGUGAGGUUAUUCCAGUAGGGGAGGUGGAAGAGGUGAACAAGAUGGCUGUUGAAAUAGGGUGUAGGGUGGGACAGCUGUCUGUCGUCUACUUGGGGCUAACUUUAGGGACGCCUAAUAAAGCCACUUCCGUGUGGGAUGAGGUGAAGGAGAAGGUGAGAAGAAGACUUGCCCUUUAGAAACGCCAAUAUAUUUCCAAAAGUGGGAGAAUCACUCUUAUAAAGAGCACGUUGGCCAGCAUACCCUUGUAUCAAAUGUCUUUGUUCUGUAUGCCAAAAUCAGUGGCAAGGAGGCUUGAAAAGUUACAAAGAGACUUUUUGUGGGGAGGGGCCAAUGGGGAAAAAAAAGCACACUUAGUCAAGUGGGAGGUGGUGUGUGCGGAUAAAGAAAAGGGAGGGCUGGGAUUAAGGAAGCUUGCUUGUUUGAACAAAGCCUUGCUAGGCAAAUGGAUUUGGAGGUUUGCUCGUGUUAAGGAGGAUCUUUGGAAGAAGGUGCUUGAGGCAAAGUAUGGGCAAGAGGAAUUUGGAUGGAGGACAAGGAAGGCAAAUGGGGUGUUUGGAGUAGGGGUUUGGAAGGAGAUUUUGAAGAAAUCUGAUUGGUGUUGGGAAAAUAUGGUGUUCAAGGUGGGAAAAGGCAAUAAAAUCAUAUUUUGGACAGAUCCUUGGUGUGGGAAUAAUGUGUUAUCCCAAAGUUUCCCAAAUCUCUUUGCCAUGGCUGCCCAAAGGAAUGCCACGGUGGAGGAAAUGUGGGAUCAGAAUUUUGGCCAAGGCGGGUGGAAUUUAAGGUUUUUAAGGGCCUUAAUGACUGGGAGUUGGAUACGGUGGGCAACUUGCUGGUUGUGUUGAGGGAGCAUAGAGUUACGUUGGAGGAAGAUUCGGUGAUUUGGAAGGAAGGAAGAGACGGGCUGUUUAGAGUCAAGAGAGGGUACAGUUGGCAAGCCAUAUUGUCGCCGAGUUCCCGAAUAGCAAUAUAUGGGUGGAUAGAGUUCCAACCAAAAUUGCAUUUUUUGCAUGAGAAGCCGCUUGGAGGAAGGUUCUCACUCUUGAUAGGCUUCAAAGAAGAGGGUGGCAGUUCCCUAACUACUGUUUUUUGUGUGGUUGUGAAGAGGAAACGAUAAAUCAUAUUUUAAUUCAUUGUACAGUUGUCAGAGUUUUGUGGGAUAUCAUUCUUGGGUUGUUUGGUGUUCAGUGAGCCUUUCCAGAAUCUGUAAAGGAGGUUUUAUUUAGCUGGAAGGGCUCUUUUGUGGGAAAAAAGAGGAAAAAACUGUGGAAGUCCAUCCUGCUGUACAUUUUUUGGACAAUUUGGAAGGAAAGGAAUAGAUUAGCUUUUUAGGGGAGGGUGUUAGCAGUUCAGAAGUUAAAAACUUCGUUUGUGUGUAAUGUUUGGGGUUGGGCUAAAUUGUACAUUGGUGUGGAGUCGAUCUCCCUUAUAGGCUUCUUGGAGUGGUUAACCUCCACUUAGGGGUUGGGGUGUUUUGUUCUUUUUUGGUUGGGAGGCCUUAGUCGCCUCAUAUACUCCCUGUAUGUUUUGCGGCUAUUUUGCCUCUUGAUAAUAUAUUCUGUGCUUACUUAUAAAAAAAAAAUAAAGGAAAAAGUUAUAAGAUGAAAAUGUGCAUGUAAAGACCAUAGGAAUGUGAAGAAUAGAUAGGAGACACCUUGUAAAGCAAGAAGACAAAUGAUGUUUUGGGACUCAAGUUCAAGGUGUAGAUAGUAGGAAUAAGAAAAUAUGUGUGUGUUUUGAAAUUGAGUUUUGUAUUUUUUUUUUCUUUCCUAUUUAACAUUCUCUAUAGUAGAGUGGAUUUUAUCUCUCAUCUAUUGAUGUAAUCAUAGUUAGCCAAACCACAUUAAAGCCAUGUGUUUGUAAUGUGUGUGGAUUAUUUUAUCUUUAUGUUGUUGCACUAAUAUGAGGCAUUAAAGCUUCCACUAACACAAUUAGAGCUAUGGUGAAGAUUUCUAGAAUAGCUAAGGGGAAGAUCUAAGACUUGGGAUUUAGCUUUGCUAAUUUGAACAUAAAGAUGGUACAAUAAUAUCCAAAAUUCACAAUAGAAUGAAAAAUAAAGUCGGAAUUUGUUGUUUUCUUAUUGGCACGUGAUAAAUGGAGCAUAUACUCAUUGAAUUUAGAGUAAGUGUAGCCUUUUAUAUUCUUAUUUGAUUAUACAAGGUGGAAACAAUGAAUGUCUGAAGUGUUUGGAUCCAUGGAUAUCUAGUAAAAGGCAAACAAGGAGUGUUUAUGGCACAUAAGGGAUUUGUGACAUGGACUAAGAAUUCAGAAGAUUAAGUUCCAUGGACCUACAACUGGAGAUGAAGUAAUCUUGUUUGUUAUUUCUUUUCUCAAAAGUUAAGUUUGUAAUUCAUGUGGUUCAAACAAGUUUCUAAAUGGAGUGCAUUGAUUAAUUACUCAAUGACAACAUAUUGAAUGAGUCAAAGUAUGCUGCUCACUUUACAUUGAGCAUUUUGCAUAUCAAUGUAAUUAAGGCUUUGGGCUUUCGAAAUAGGAUCAAAGAAGUGCUUCAAAUCAUUGUGAAGAAUUUCUGAAUUCCUUUAUUGAUUUUUUAGGUACACACCAUACACAUAUAUAUACACAAAUGACUGAAUAAGAAAAUAUCAAUCUAGCUUGAUUCUCUUCUAAAAUUAGGAAACUGAAUCAUCCUAAAUGAUCUCUCCUUUUUUAUUCCUAAAAUACUUUCCUAAAUUAAAACCCUAACUUUGAAUGCCAAAUUUCAACACAUUGCUAUUUGACCUAGACCUGUUCUAAAAAGGUAAAGGCAUUUCAAAUUUUUAUUGACAUGGAACGAGUCAAGGGAAAAGACAUGUAUAGAAGAGACAAAUGUAGCCAUGUAUUAUGAAAAGAUGGAAAUUUUCUCAAAUUCCUAUUCUGUUGAGAAUUCCUUUUAGUGGAGGAUAUUGUAUAGAAUAUUUCUUAUUUUGAUAUUUCCUUAUGGAAAUAAGUGUGUUUAUUGGAUAAAGAAAACAAAUAUCUUUAUAAACAUUUUAAAUCAUUGAGGGAAAAAGUUAUGAGAUGGAAACUUGUAUAUAAAGAUUCUAUACUAGUAGGUAAAUAUGUAAAGAAGUGAUAAAAGAUACCCAAUGGAGUGGGAAAACAUGAGAUGUUUUGGGGCUUAAAUUUAGAGUAUAGAUGCUAGGAGUAGAAAACAUUAAAUUGUUUUGUGACUAAGGGUUUGUAUCUAUCCUCCCUUUCCUCUAUAAAGUUCUUUAUGACAAAGUGGAUUUAUUAUCUUUCAUCUAUAGAUAUAGGAAUGGUUAGCCAAACCAUUCUAAGACCUUGUGCCUCUAUUUGUGGAUAGUUUUGUUUUUAUGUCAUUGCAUCAAUUUGUUAAAGCUUUUGUUGACACAAGGAAUAAAAAAAGAGAAGGGACAAUUAUUACAAAGAAGGAUAAGCUGUUUUUUCAAGCCAGACAAGGAAAAGGACAAAAAAUAAAACAACUUCCUAAGUGAAAAUAAGACGCCCUAAAACCUACAGAAUCACCAAUAGAUGAUGAUAUACUUUAGGGGGAGGAGUCCCCUGCAAGUUCCUUUGAGGUGGCUCUUUUCUUAGCCUAGCAAUCCACUGCAUUUUUAUACCUAGGCUAUGAAUCAAAGAAGCACCCUGGACCUCUUGAAGGUUUGUAAUCUUGCAAAUCCAAGAAUCAAAAUUCUAAGGUCCUUUCCUAUCCUAAGACACCCAAGAUAGAAUGAUAGAUGAAUCCCACUCUACCUGAAGGUAUCUAACACCCAAGAAGGACACUUUGAUUAAAAUUUAAACCUACCAGUGAAGCAAGGAUAUCCAUAUCAAUGACCAAACCAAAACUAGCUGGAUUGGAGAAAGCUUUGACAUACUGUCCCAAUGAUCUCUAAAUGAGAUACAAAUCCUCAUCUGCCUUAGGUUACCUAGAGAGCAGCCUUCAAACUUGAGGGGGUGUCCAUAUGGUUGUGAACUGGACAUUGCUUGUGAUCUGACAUAAUCAUAGAACACCAAGGAAUUCUUUAGUAAUUCACACCCAAAGAGUUGUGAGGUGGCAGACUGUAAAUCUAAAAAUUGAUCCUAAGUAAACACAACUGGUAAUCACAUAGUUAAAUACAUAUUUAAUUGCUUCACUAGAGUUUAAAAUGUUUUGGUUUAGUCUUUGUGCAAACUUUAUGUAUGAUCAGUUGCUUUUGUGUGCAGGACAAUUUAAAAUUAAUGGAUGAUUUAGCUGCUUUGAGACCAACAAUAUUUUGUAGUGUUCCUCGAUUAUACAACAGGAUAUAUUCUGGGUGAGAUCAUGGCUGAUUACUGCUUAAAUUAUUUACUUGGUUGCAUUUUGCAUGGUCAUUCAUCUGUAUCUAAUUCUGUUGAAUGUCAUAGGAUCAUGAAUGCUGUACAAACUUCUGGGGUUCUAAGGAAGACGCUAUUUAAUGCUGCCUAUAAUUCCAAAAAGCAAGUCAUAAUAAGUGGUAUGUGCAUUGAUAUCUGAAGCCAUUUCAUAUUAUAGCAUAAAGCUGCUUAUUUUCUCCUUUGUCUUUUAUUUUAUUUUAUCAUUUUUUUGGUGAAAAGGUGACAAUGGGCUAAAAAGAAAGAGGGAGCCCUCCUUCAUAACUAUAAAAUCUCAACAUGAUGAAGGCAAGAUUCAAAUCUCAGUGAUGUAGGAUAAGAGGACUUCUCUGUUGAUCUUAACUUCAUUUCUUUCCACACAGUAAUAGGCUCUUGAUCUAAAUGGUUGAUGUCAUGUAAGACUGAUUGUCAAUAAUGCUUAGCAGACCGUACCAAUUUCAUCUUAGCAGAACCAACAUGUUGAGUGUUGGUCAUGCCGUGCAAUCAAAAUUGUCUUCAAGAUUGCUGACAAACUAAGAAACACAUCAGGAUCUAACCUACCAUCAAACUCUAGCGCCUCUACCUUGACCUCCUUGGUGAUAUCACCUACCUAAUUGUGGAUAUAAUCUAGAUUGGUCAUAAUGGUAUUGUGGAGGUAAAGUCAAAAUUGUUGACAAUGGUAUCUAACUUGAGGUUCCCAGUGCCUAAGGGUAUUCCUAGGACCUUAAUUGACAAAUUAUGACCAAGACUCUCUCCCAUCUUCAUUAAUAGGUAUUGGGGCACCAAAAGCUUCAUCCUCAUAAACAUCAUCAUAUCAUCCUCGUCUAGGGCUCUAAACUAGAUUUUUGUUUGUGGGUGGCUUUUCUUGUGGUUAGCAAACCUGCUUGGGAAUCCCUAAAUCUUCUUUGAUUUGGGGAUUGAUUAGAGUUUUGUCUCAUUGUAGACUCAUUUAUUGUUUUCUCCUCAUAACGCUUUCCAGGAUCUUUUAACAAAUGACUUAGGCCACAACAAGUUUGGUCAAAAUAUCUUCAUCUCUUCUAUAUUGACUUGUAAGGUUGUCACAAUAGUUGUGAGAUUUUGAACAUCCCCCUGAAUGGUCAAAUGGGAUUGUUCUAAUUCAGUGACCUUCAUGUUUGCUGAAAACAAAGGUGAGGAAAAAAAUGAGAACAAAGAAAAAUAAAGUAAUAUUGAAAUAUAUGUGAAUUAAAUUAAUAAUAAAUUAUGUCUAGACUGGAUGCACACAAUUGGAAUUAAACUCAAAUAGAGGACUAUGCAAUGACUCUCAAAAGGACACAAGAUACAAAAUAGGUAUGAAAUAACUAAGGGUAAAUAUUUUUUUUUUUUCUUUUAAGUAAGGUAAUAGGUAAAAAGAAGUAAGAAAAUAAAGGUAAGAAUCCUAACACGUUAUUUGUUAGACCAAAGAACUAAACUAAAAGCACAAGUUUCUAAGUAGUAGGAAAAUUACCCCAUGAGACUUAAUGGAGUAAUUGAACCCUUAGAUUGGUGCGAAGAUUCAAACAGCUAAAACAUAUCCAAAAUCAACCUUGGUUAUAGGUUAUUUAAUACUUGUAGUUUAGUUGUGAAAAUUCCCUGGUGCAAAACAUGUACAAACUAGACCUGAGCAAUUGUUUAUUGCCUAUGGUUUAAUGCCAAGAAUUCCAAAUUGUUGCAGUAUAGUUGUGAGUAUAACCAUCACAAAAGGCAUCCAAAAUCAACCUUGCCUUGAUACCAAUUGAUGUAAGACAGUAGAGAAGAAUUUUGAGCAGAGAAAUAGAAGUAGAAGAGAGAAAUUCCAAAUAAUUAUGAAUAUUAUAAAUCAAAAGUUUAAAAUGUUUAAGAUCACUGAGCCUAUAUAUAGAGAGACAAUCUUAACUCUAGGAGGAAACUAAUUUUAACAAUAACAUAAGAAAUUCUGACAACAAUAAAAUGUUAUCAAUAAAUAUUAUUAACCCUAAAGUAGAUAACAAAAUAAAACAUUAUGACUUCUUAUAUUUACACUUACAUAAAUGCAUAAGUGAACAUCUUUAUCUUCAUCACCCAGGUUUCUGGUACGAUCCCCUAGACUUUAUAUCAACAGCCUAGUUGUGUCCUCUUUUUUGCUAUGAUCAUAAUAUCCAAAAACACUGUAGGGUAUAUAAUUUAAGUGAAGGAUAUUGUAACCCCUGGACUCUUCCAAUCCCUCCGAGGAUUGCACCAUUAGUGUUGAUUUGUUAUGUUUUUCAUCAAGAAAUUCCUCCAAGAACUCAUAUUUAGGUCCCCAGUGUAGUGUUCUCAAGUGGCAAAACCAAGGUCAAGUAACCUGGCACCUACAAAGUCUUGGAUGGGAAAUCCGGAUAAUUCCCUCUAGAAGAGGUAAGGAUUCUUAAUUUCAGUAGUGGGCAGUGGCAGUAGGUAUGACCUACUAUGUGCAGUUUCUUUCUCCCAGACAGCUGUGAUGAAUUUAGGGUUCAAACAGAGUGCAUUGGGAAAUAAAGUUUUAAAUAGCUCUAGAACAUGGGUGGAAAGUAUUGGGUUUAUUUCUUAAUUUGUUGCUGUAAUUGCAAACUAAAUUCACAAAUAGAGAGAUGUAUAUAAUAUUUUUGUUUGGGAUAUUUGGGUCUUAUGGUCUCUAUAUUGGUGGCUUACAAAGUGUCGAUGAUAUUAAAUUUAUUAGAGGGAAUAUUUAUGGUGCUUGUCCCAAUUUUUUGAGAUCAACAAUAUGAUCCCUGUCCAGAAUUGUCAAUUUAUCAAAAUAAAUCUCUUUGAUUGGAGUAUGAGGUCUUAAAUUUUGAAAUAUCACAAUUUAAAGAUUGAAAGGGGAAUGCUCAUAAUAGGAGGGGAGUGGCAGCUUUAAGGCAAAAGGCAUUAUAUCUUCAUUGGAUGGGACUUUUGGCUGAAUUCAACACAAACUGGAUUCGGAAAAUUCAUACCAUCAAUUGAAUUUUAAGAAAGGAAUGCUUCAAGCUAAUUUGGAUACAUGGUGCCUUAUGCUUACGAUUUGUAUUUUUCCCCUUUCUACUCUCCUUGAAAUAUUCUGGAGGCCAGAGAUAUUCUUGUUAAUCUCUGUUAGUUGCUAUAUGUAAAGUCUGAGCAAAUCUUCCAACCAAUGUGCUGAUAUCUAUACAAAUAAUCAGAAUGUCCACACCAUAUAUAGAUAUACCAUGUGAUAAGCAUUUCUAAGCUGUCAUGCAUGUGUAGCAUGUGGUAUUGCUGCUUUUGCUACUAAUAUGUUACACCACUGUCUUAGGCCGAAACCCAUCACCCAUGUGGGACAGAUUGGUAUUCAGCAAAAUAAAGGGAAUGCUUGGAGGAAGAGUCCAUUUUAUGGGUUCAGGUGCUUCACCUUUGUCUCCUGAUGUCAUGGACUUUCUGAGAGUGUAAGUUGAUUAUUCUUCUGAGGAUAAUGCAUUAUUGCAUGGUUGCUUGUUUAAAAGUUGUGAUAAAUCCAUUAUUCCACAGUUACCUGUUUAAAAGUUAUUGUUAUUGUUUCUUGUUUUCUAGAAGGAAAAACAAAAUAUCAGUAGUGACUAAUUAUGUUUUAUUGUUCCAUAAUGAAUGUACCCAUACAGAUGCUUUGGUUGCCAAGUAAUUGAAGGCUAUGGAAUGACCGAGACCUCUUGUCUCAUAAGCUGUAUGGAUAAGGGUGACAACUUAUCUGGUCAUGUUGGAUCUCCUAAUCCUGCUUGUGGUGAGCUGUCAACCUAUGUCUUAAGAAUAUAAAAAAAGGAACAAAAUAUAGUGCAUAGUCCAUGAGAAACAACAUGAUGUUCCUUGAGGGGCAUAUGGAUACUGCAUAUAUGCAUAUGAAAUGGUCCAUUUUCUAUUUUUCAUGGCAUCUAUGUUAAUUUGUUAUUCAAGUGGAAUAAUCACCAUUAUUCUAACAAGAACAAUGGGAUUAUGAUUUCAUAGAAACCUAAAUAAACUUACUGUUAAAUGAGGUUGACGAAAAAGCAGACUGUGGUUGGAGAAAAAGCAAAGAGACUCAAUUGCAAACCAACGGAUUCAAUAGGUUUACUUCAAAUGCUAUAGGGGAAAAAAUGUAAAGAUUGCAAUUUCAAACAGCAUCCAAACCCCCACUUUAAAUUGGGAUGUAAUUUGAAUCUAAUUGCCGGAUGUCUUUAAGAAAAUGGUAUUCACAACUAAUGAACUAAUUCACUGAGUUGUGUGGAUUCUGGUUGCUCCCUGCCCUUUUCCUCUUUCAGAAAUAAAGCUUGUGGAUGUUCCUGAAAUGAAUUACACCUCUGAGGAUCAGCCCUAUCCUCGCGGUGAAAUAUGUGUCAGGGGUCCCGUUCUCUUCCAAGGCUACUACAAAGAUGAAGUCCAGACGUACUCAACUUUCUUAUAUUUCUAUUUCUUGUAUUGCUUAUCAAAUACACAUAUUUCUUGCAAUUGUCACUCAUGUGUAAAUAAUGGAUCUACCUGACUCCAGUUACUUUGACAGGAAGGAAGUAAUUGAUGGAGAUGGUUGGCUGCAUACAGGAGACAUUGGGUUAUGGUUGCCUGGAGGUCGCCUUAAGAUUAUUGAUAGGUGAGAUUUUACAAUCUAUCACAUUUAAAGGACUUGAUACCAAUACUGCUUGUUUUAGAUGAGAAAUUUAACUACAUAGUUUCUAGUUCUUACCUAUCUAAAUUAUGUUUUCCCUCAGAGCAACUUCAACAUGAAAGACUCAGAGUUUUCUAAACCUAUUUCUGGGUAUGGUUUGGUUUGUGAAACAUAAAACACUGAUCAAAUUAAUGACACUGAUAUUUUUUUUGAGUUGGUAAUAGUGUGUAAAGUAUCAUAUUAAUGUAUUACUGUUGAAGUAUUAUUGUGGUGCAAUCAAAUAACCACACAAUUGCUUACAAAAGAAACUUUGUGAAGAGCAGGAACAUGCCAACUUUAAGUUAUGAAAUUUUAGUCUCUUAGCGAAAAUUGAUGGCCAACUUAUGACAGGAAAAAGAACAUCUUCAAGCUGGCACAGGGUGAAUAUAUAGCACCAGAGAAAAUUGAGAAUGUAUAUGCCAAGUGCAAAUUUGUUUCCCAAUGUUUUAUCUAUGGUAAGGCAGAUGGAGUUUACUUGCAGAUUGGGCCCUCCCCAGCUAAGUUCUCUUUGCUGACUGCUUAAUUGAUUUUAGGUGAUAGCUUGAACUCCUGUUUAGUAGCCAUAGUCUCAGUUGACCCAGAUGUGUUGAAAGAUUGGGCCACAUCUGAAGCCAUCAAGGUGAUUUCUUUCUUAUACUACACCCUUUUGAAAAUGCUUGCACUUUGAGAUUGAUCUCUUGCUCCAGGAAUUCUUCUUGAUAUUGUUUGAGCCUUGAUGUUGCACCAAAGUUGUAGGUGGCUGCUUUCUCUAUUAACAAAAUGAUGCACUGAAAUGUGGUUGUCAUUUUAUUGCUUACUGGGGUCUCCUCUGUACCACACAUAUUUCUCUCACUUGGAUUUUCCUGCAUUUUCAAAUACCCUUGUUCUUGUCGGCCCAAAACCUGUAGUUGGUUUGUGGCAAUAUUGAAAGGAAUUUUCAUUGUUUAAAGCACCCAUCAACUGACAACUCAUUCUUAUGGGGGAAGAAACAUUGGAUUACAAAUCCUACAAUGUCCAAGGUGUUUCAUUCUCUGUAUUAUGUGUCAUGGAGAAACUGAAUGCAGUUUUGUCUGUGUGAGAUGACAGACAAUAAAUUUUUUUUACUUCUUUGUGUCCUUGUGUUUGGGAAAGAUUUUCUAAUGUUUUGUGAUUGUUUUGAAAUGCAUUUCUGCAGUAUGAAAAUCUAGGCCAUCUAUGCAAUGAUCCAAGAGCAAGGGCAGCUGUUCUCACAGAAAUGGAUGCAAUAGGAAGGGAAGCUUAGGUAAUAUGUUGAAAUGUUUCCACUCUCUAGCCCUUCUACUCAGUCAGGAUAUUUAAUUUGCCCUAGCCCUUCUACCAUUGCCAUGCAGUUGAGAGGUUUUGAAUUUGCAAAAUCUGUAACUUUGGUGGUUGAACCAUUCACCAUGGAGAAUGACCUCCUGACCCCAACAUUCAAGGCAAGCUUCAUCAUUCUUCAAAUGGUUUUUUCCUUUCUUCCAUUUUCUUGGCAGUGAAAUAGAGUAUCAGGUGAAAAUAAAAAGUGUUUUGAGCUUUGCCUACAUAUUUUUCCAGAUCAAGAGGCCCCAGGCAAAGGCUUACUUCUCUGCUGCAAUAUCAAACAUGUAUGCAGAAAUUUCUACAUCCGACACAAAUCCACAGAAAAUGUUAUGAUGAUCUUGAUUCAGGAAGGGGGAAAGAAAGCCGAGCACAUGCAAGGUAACCUCUAAUGGUGAUUCCACUUCCUUACGGUAAGGCUCCAUUUGUUUGAUCAGAAGAGCAACUUUUAAUAGCUUUUGACAUUGUAGAAUGUCGAUCUUCAUCCAACUUUCCAUUGAAUAGUUAGAAGGCUGAAAAUAUCAGAUUGAAACUGGUUACCCUUUUUAUGCCAAAUCCUUCACCAAAGAGAUUUCAUUAAUAAAAAGUACGGAAACUGAGUUGGGUCUUACCGAAAUGAAAUGAAAAGAACACCUGAGACAUAAUUAGAAUCACACAUGCUUUCAAUUUUUCAGCACAAGGAUCAAAUACAACAAUCUCUACCAAAUUUGUUUUCUAAGCCUAAAACUUCGUAAUGACUCGUACUCUUCUUUAUGUGGAGCAUUAACUCAACAGUUCUGACCCAGUGCAGGGAUUUCUAGGUAGGCAAGAACUGAAGGGGGCCGACUCUAGCUACCCAGAAGAACCCAUUUCAAUAAGACCAGCUCCACAAACAGAAGAUGAAGUUGAAUCUGUCUCUCUCCUCCACCAUCCAACAUAUUUGACAAGUCUGUAAAAAGAAUUCCUACUAGUGGAGAAUGGAAAAGCUAGAAGAAGGAUUUCUCCAGUUUCCAAAACAAAUAAUUAUGAAUAUUGGAAUAAUUUUAACCUACCCCCCAUGGUUUCUCAUACAAUUUUCAUAUCACAUAAUUCCUGCAAUGGAGUGUUCUGCAGAGACUUGAUUGCCAUAGCCUAGUGUUCAUUCAAUGGCUCUUCAUGAUCCAUACCAGCAGUUUGAUAUGACGGAAACAAAACAACAAGCUUUUCUAUUCAAUGUGGUUGCAUGGCACCUUCAUGAAUCAUAAGCUUAAAAAACUUAAAUUUUCAUAUUUAACUUCAUGAAUCAACUUUAUAAAUAAUAUUAUCUCAUCCAUUAUAAUACAUUAAGCUGUCUAUUGACUUACCCCAAAGAAGAUAACAGUGCAGAAUUAUAACACAUCAAUCUCGAGCAGUAAUUGUUACCAAAAAGAUUCAAUAACUUCAAAUGGGGGCGUGAAAAGAAUAUGAACAAUAUUCGUACUUCUACGAACCAAAAAAAUAGUGGGGCUUCAAAAUUACAACUUUGACCAGAUGCUAUGACUGGUGACAUACCACAGCCGUACAAGAAGAGUCAGUAUCUAUGAUCCACAGACCCAAUUCUUCAAGCCGUUUCUGAAUCAUAUCUGAGCCUAUUUCUGGGGACCAGAAAACCAUCUUUUUUCUAUUCCCCUGAGAGGUCUGAUUAGCAUUUCUGGAAUCAAUCUCUAAACCCAGGCUUCCCUCAUCGACCCAUUUAACCCUCAUGCCCUCCUGUUUGAACAACUCUCCCACUAUAUACACAAAUUUUUUACCUUCUGUUGUUGGUAUUCGACCUCUUCCCUUUUCCAGCACAGAAUCCACCAUUAGUGCCACUUUGUGAAUAAAAUCAUCGACCCAGAUCUUCCGGGCAGAAGAUGAGCUCCGGAUAAAUAAAAUUUCCGGGGUCUUCCCAGCAUGGAAGUCAUAGGUAGCAUCAAUGACAUCAAGAAAUGGGGUACUUCUGAGAAAAAGCAUGUUCCCAUCAACCACCCAAGAAUUGUACCCAGACUCCAGACACUUCUGGAUUACGUAGGCCUUUACUAAGAUAUACUUCUUGACCUCCAUAUCAGAAUCUUGGAGACUCUUCAUUUUAUGAGCUCUGACACUGCUGAGAAAUUGGUCCACAUCAAUCACAGGAUGACCCCUUCUAGCAAGAUCAAGAAGGAAGUCCGAAUUCAGGCCCAUAAAAAUGUAGUUCUGAAUAUUGAAACUCUCAAAGUGGCACAGCAAAUUCCUUAUGACUCUUUCAGAUGCUCCAAACAGGCUCACAAGUAUAAUGGUAUCCUGUUUUUGCACAGAGUGAAGAACAGAUCCGAGUUCUUCAAAACUCCUUACAACUGUUCCAGGAUGUACUUCUUUGAAACAGAAAUCAUACCACUUUAGCUUAGUCAGAGGUUGCAUCUCCAGAAGAUCAAUAUCAAGUGAACUUUCAUCGAGUAAAUAUGAAUCUGGACCAGCUGUUUUCCCAUAGUUGACACCAGCAUCUCUAUGAGAGACACUGAGUGCUCUUUCAUGUAGAAAGUUUGUGUAAAUGUUAAAAUAGCCACGAGAAUGAAUAAAACUAAUAAACCAAGGAGUCCAAAUUCUCUCACCCAUCUUCUUGUACCAUCCUGUUGUUACCUGUAUAUAAAUUUCAGUUCUUAUCAGAAAAUUGUGAUUCAAAUUGAUAAAUAUGCUUGGAUUUUUUUAUCUUCACUUCAAGAAAAAAUAAAAAUUAACUAAAUAAGAAUACAAUGAGAAAGACAAAAAAUUACCAUCCCCUGCAGAAAUGGCUUGAUGCCCUUGGCCUUGUGUAUAUCAUACCAUAAACGGAACUCUUUCCAAGGUUUUGGAAAGAGAAGCUGACCCCAAGUGCCAACCAGCUGGUACAAGAAAAUAUGUGUUUCAUCAUCCAAUUGAAUUUUGUUUCCGUGCUUACCUGUAGUCAGAAACCAUUUUAAUCAAUUACAGGCAACAGGAAAAAGAAAAAAAAAAAAAAAAAAAGCUUUAAUAGCAAAAAUCAGACAUACAAAGUGUAAGGCUGGUAGGAAAAAUGAUUUCCUGCGAAUAGAGUAGGAAAGGGAAGCAUACAAAGAUAAGAAUUUGUUUCAUCAAAAAAUGAAAUCCAGCUGGCACAUUUUUACAUGAAAUAGAAACGGGGAAAAGAAAGACAAUCAAUGAGGCCAAGGAUCAAAUGAACAAUGAAAGCAUACCGUACAGAGCAUUGCUACCAGCAAGAGCUGAUCCAACUAUGCCUUGAUAUAAUCAUAACAGCAAUGGUAUAUUUGAUAUAAUUGCAUUCCCUCCUCAACAAGAAUUUGACACAAUCAUAUAGUAAGAUGGAGAAACUCUAUGGUUUUAAAAAGAAAAAAAAAAAAAGAAUUAUCUACUGGACUCAUAAUAUCAUAAAUGUUUCCAAUGAUUCUGGCCAACAUGCAUGUACAUGAAUACCCUGCCCUGCACUUCAAUGGUUUGGGAAAAUCAAGAAUGCAAUUGAUGUUUACUCCUUCCUACUCUGGGACCUCCCUUUCCAGGAACAAGUUCUGUUUGGCCAAGAAACAAUAUUUUGAUUUGUUUGAAAUACUUUUUAUUAUAUAAAAUUAUUAGUUGGAUUUUCCAUUCGAUACAGCCUCACAUUAGUCAUCACAUAAUUGACAGAUAACAAGACUGUUCUUGCAGCACAGACCUAGUCAAUCCAAAGGUUGUAACCUCAAACUGGGCUUCCAGGGCGGUUUUUGCUAUUGUUUCUUUCCUUUUUUUCUUUUUUAAUAAAUAGGCAAACAGGAGAUAUAUUAAGCAGCACCUAACAAAAAAGGGUGCAUCCUAUGUACACAGGUGGUGUACAUUAGGCACCAAAAUAAGAAAGAAAAAGCAAAAAUUUUCUAUUAGGCUUCCUGGGUUCUGCUCUGUUCAGGAGAUUGUUUUGAAGAAUUAAGGCCAACUGGCCCUUCUUAUGUGGAACCUCUGCACAAUUCUGUGUUCCAAGAGGCCUGCGAGAUUACAUCAUAGCCUUCUUCUUCCUGUUCUUCUUCCACUUUUUUUAUUUUGAUAACCGAGGAUCCUUCCAUGGCCAAGCCCUUAGGACUUUCUAUGGGGACCCAAACCUCGGGGUGCUAACCUCCCCGCAACAACCAGCACAAAAUAAAUUCAGGAUAUCAUCAAUGGCAGGAUUCAACCUAAAGACUAUAUGUCACUUACUAGAACCACACUAUCCAGUGUUCACCCAAACCAAUUGAGCUAACUUGGUGGGUCUGUUCUUCUACCGCUUACUUUAGAGAUCAUUGAGUUUCCCUCCACUAUCCUAGCUCAGUUAAGCAAUAGUGAGCUUCCCUCUACUUUCCUAGCUCAUAUUGAGAUUGUGAGCUUCUCUCUGUAUUUUCUUUAACCACCAUUGUAGCUCAAAUUAGAGAUCAUGAGCUCUUCUAGAAGCAACUAUUUGUGGUUCAGGAUGCAUGGAAAACUAAAUUGCUCCUCUCUCACCUCCUCAGCAUCCUUACUUCCAUCUGAUUUUUCCUCCCUUCACCAUAAUUAACAGAGUUUCUUUUAUAAUUUCACGUUAUUGACUACCCCUACCACAUGAAUUUUUCCCAGACCAAAAGGCUGUUACUAAAGACUAUUGACAUAAGAGCCCUAACCCAGAGACUGCUUGAUCUAUGAAAUUCCUUUCCCCCAUUUACAGCUGAAAACGUUCACUAUUCCAGAUCAAAAUGUUGAUUUCCUUUCCUUUUCUUUAAUCUUAAAAUUAUCUAGGAUCUAACAAGCUACACAGCAAAUCAUCAAUGAAUUCAAUUCCACCCAAUGAAGAACAAAACUCACAAACAAAUGCUUGAAUUUCCAGGCAUCCAAAAAAAAUUGAAAUAUUCCGUUCGUUUUUCCUCAAUUUUCUACAUAAAAUGGUACCUGGAACAAACCUUGGUCGUUGCAGCGAAGCCCCAUAAAUCGAAGGACUGAAAUUGGAGGAAUUGUAGUAAUAAUUCUGAAUCAAAGCCUUCAAAAACUUGUAAUAAAGAGGCGAGACCUCCAAAUCAUCCUCCACAACGAAGGCAAACUCGUGAUCGGAGCUGGGCCACCACGCCUCCAACCAUUGCGCCUGCAACCCCACAUUCCCAGUCCGGUAAUGCACCACCUUCUGCCCAAAUUUCCAAUCGAACCCGUCAAUGAACUCCAGAAUCCGGCGCGAUUCGUCCAACUUCUGAUCCAACAACAGCUCAGACUUGCCGACAUUGUCCGCGUGAGGAAAAUGGUCAACAUAGAUGUGGAGGUGGACGGUGUCGCGGCCGUAGUGGGCGGCGGCAAGAGAGCGGAGGCAACGGGAAAGGGAGGAGAGGCGGUCGAAGGUGAGAACUUUGAGAAUGAAAGAGAAAUUAGAGGGACUGGGAAUUGAGUUUAGCGAUGGAUUGAGAUUUGAGGGAAGAUUGAGGUGAGGAUUAGGGUUUAAGGAGUGGGAAGAGAGGUAGAGGUGGAGAGAGGAGUGGUAAUGAGAGUAGAGGAAGAAAGCUGAGAGAGAAAGGAGGAGAAGGAGAGGAAGAAACUGUCUCUUGGGUGCCAUUUUGUUUCUUCAGAUUUCAGAAUUAGGGUUAGGGAUUGAUACAGACGGCGCAGAGAAUGGAUCACAGUGACACAGUCACUUCUCUGCUUUGUGCUCCUCACUCUUCUCCACUCUGAGUUGUAGGCAUUACCAGGAAGGAGGCUUUAGGAUUAUUUCUUUAGACUCCCUUUGGCAGGCAUUUUAGCAAUCUCUUCAACCUAAAAAAUGCUUUUAAAAAAUUAUGGGGGCUAUUUGCUAAAAUUUUAAAAACACUUUUUAAAUUUUUAAAAUUCAAUUAUAAUAUUUGAAAUUAAUCGCAAUAUUUUCUUUGGAGAAAUACUCUAUUAAUAAUUUUUUUAAAAAUAUUUUAUGAAAAUAUACUUUUACUCCAAACACUUCAAAUGGAAGUACUUCCAAACACACUUAUUUCUUUUUAAAACCUACGAACAAAUGUAAAACACUUAAAAUGGUUAAAGAUAUUUAUGUUAAGAUACGACUUCUCUUUGAGUAAAAACAUAAAAAAAUAUUAAAUUUAAUAAAUUUAAAAAUAAUUUCAUCCCUUUAAUUAAAAAUAAUUUCAUCCCCUUUAAUCAAUCAAUUAAUUCUAAUUCUUUUCCAUAUUAUAUACUGCAACCAUGUUCUAUUAUCAUUCUCAAAAUGAUCCUCUAAGACCCCAUUUGGAUGUGACUUCCAAGAAAUUAAAAAGUUACUUUUCUAAGUUCAAUAAGAACUUUCAUGCCAAACAAAACCUAUGGCUUAAAAAAUAUAGUUUAAUUUGAAAACCACAAUAACAUUACUUCUUGUAAAAACCCAUUUUGACUUGUAUAAAAUAGUGACUUUGACUUGUGUCUCAGCUUCCAAUUAAAACCAAAAACAUGAAACCAUCCCAAACAAGGCCUUAACUCCAACAUUCAAGAGAAGCUUCAUCUUUCUUCAAAAGCAUUAACUCAACAGCUCUGACCCUUCCUUUCAGGGGAAGUAUUCCCAGUCCUGGGAUUUCUAGGUGGGUAAAGUACCCAGAAGAACCCAUUUCAAGAACCCAUAAACACAAGAUGAAGUUAAACCCACCUCUCUCUCUCUCUCUCUCUCUCUCCACCACAUCUAACAUAUUUUGCAAGACUGUUAAAAAAAAACCCUACUAGUGGAUAAUGAAAAAGCUAGAAGAAGGAUUCCUCUAGUUUCCAAUACAAGUAAUUAUUAAUAUUGGAAUAAUUUUACCUACCCCCACCGUGGUUUUUCAUACAAAUUUCAGAUCAGAUAAUUCCUGCAAUGCAAUGGUCUGUACAGACUUGAUUGCCAUAGCCUAUUAUUGUUCAUUCCUUCCUUCAACAUUAUCUAUACCAACAAUGGCAGAAACCCACCAUGAGUUUGCAGAAGUUCAAGAAAGGGAUGAAGACCAGAUUCGAUUACUGUUUGGCAAGUGGCCGUGUGUUAUCCCAAAGCCAUUGACGUGCAGAACCAUCCAGUAACGGCGAUACCUAUGACACAAAUAAGGGAUUUUGCACUGUGAGGAAGAGAUCAUAUUUUCUGAAGACCCAUAGAAAACCCAUCUAUAAAAGUUUAUGUAGUGUUUUGAGAAUUCCUUUCUGAUAAAAUCAGAGGAGGUAAUAAUACCCUACAGCAUGAAUACUGGCUGAAAACUUGAUGGCCACUUACCUUCUCCCAGACUUCUGAAUGGUAAUCGUUGAGCCAAUCAAUCUCGGCAGUGGAGAGUAGAGAUAACUCAACCAAUUCAUUCUGCAUGACAGAACCAUAAAAUGUUAUUCGGAUUCAUAGAGCAUAAGCACCCAAUAUGUUUGAGAAAUGAUCUUAAAAUGAACUGGGAAUUGGUCCUAGUACAAAUCUGCAGGCCUGCAAAGCUCUUUGAUUCUCAACCAGACCAAAAUUUACAAGGUGUUUACUAGCAAAUCAAUGUUUUACCAGUUUUCUUGUAAGGACAUUGAUCAUACCUGAAUUGGAACAAAUGUGAGCUUUUCAAAUCCCAAAUAUCCGAUACCUCCAAAACGAUUUGGGGUGUCCAUCUCUUUAACACAAAGGAGAUUCUGCAUUACAAGGAAAACUUAGAUCACAGAAUUAUAACAGAAUGCAAAAAAAUCAAGGUAAAGAACACCAAUUACCAGGAUGGAAAAUAGAAGCAACAACUGAAGAGAAAUUAAUUUGCAUACCUCGAUCCGAAUACCAAAGGCAUGGUCUUCAUAAUAGCCAGGUUCAUUGCUAACAAUCAUGCCUUUCUGUAAAGGAGUCAUAUUUCCAAAUCGAAAGCUAAUACUUUGAGGGCCUUCAUGAACAUUCAAUGCAGCUCCUACACCAUGCCCAGUCCCUACCACACAAGAUUAAAACAGAAACAAUAAAUAAGCACAAAUUUCAAUUGAAUACAAACUACUGACAGGGAAAAAUAUUUCAACUGCACAAGUAAACUGAAAUGAGAAGUACCAUGCCGGUAAUCAAGUCCAAUCUUCCACAGAAAGGACCGGGCAAAUGCAUCCAAUACAAAACCAGGAGUAUUUUCAGGGAAUACUGCCUGAUCAAGAGCUAUAUGACCCUGCAAUUGACACCAUCAGAAACCAUCGAACUAACUAAAUUCUUAAACGCCAAAAUUGUUCACAGAACACUGUCAUAUAGUGACUUCAAAUGACAUAGCAGCACAAAUAGGAUGAUCAUAUACUGUGACUGAACCAUUAAAAAGGUCCCACUUAUGGAUCACUGCUGGCUUGGAGUAAUCUCGAAAUGAAAAAGCACUAAUAGUAUAUUCAAUCCAUGACAUGAUGCUAGAAUAUCACAAAGCCAUAAGAUACCUGACAGCCAUUUGUCUGAAUUGUCCAGUGAUCGGUCUUUUUUUUUGGUCAAAAGAAAUUAACCAAAAAAAAAAUACAAUUUUAAAACUAAUAAACUAUUCUAUAUACAAACUAGUGGGACAACAAGAGUGAUUUCCUGUAAAGUAUUAAAGAAAUAACAUAAUUUUAAAUACAUGAACAUGCAUAUAAGCACAUCUCCCACAUGCACAUGGAGGGCUUAAUAGCUUGAAAUUUGUUAGCCAACAAUUCAACAUCAUCCAUUUUCUUUUGCAUACUUUUUUUUAUUUAAGAAAUGUACCAUGAGCAACCGUAAGACUUCAUCUUUUAUUAAAUAGUAUGUGUCCAUAUUAUACAUUUAAGAAAGUUUUAGAAGAUGCAGCACCUGUAAAACUCGGGUGAAGCAUUCUUUUUGCCGUGGAGUAGGUUCGCCAAAAUGCACUGUCCUGGUUAUAUCGGUUGUUCCAUCAAUAUAUUGAGCUCCACUGUCUAAUAGGAACAUUUUCUUCACAUCCACAAUGCUACAACUAUCUGGAUUUGGUUUGUAAUGUAUGAUGGCACCAUUUGCACCCGAAGCUGCAAAAAUCAUUCUAUCCAUGACCGGUGAAGUUGAAAGGAAGAACCAGUACAACAUUUAUCAAAUUAGAGUCCAAAAUAUGGUGAUUAAGCAUCAUCAUUUAUGAAUUCUUAAUGCAGAUUCUGUAGUGGAAAAGAUUUCUCUAUUAAAAGUUGUAGCCAACAUGCUUUUGCAUGACUGCAAGAGAUAUAUCAUAGAAUCAUAGCAUUAUCUUCUACAUCAAAGGUAAGAACAAUGGAUUUAUGCCAAUAUCCAAUCACAUUUUCUGCAAGGAGUGAAAGCAUAAUUGGGAUACUGAUCUUUGUUUGGUAAACUCAAAGAAGAUUUUGUACAUAGGGUCUAACCCAAUCUAAUCCACUAAUUGCAUGAAAUAUAAAUUUCCUUGUUCACUAGGGUGUGAAUUACCACAUUUCCCAAACCAUGCCUUAAAAUUAUGAUGGAAUUUCAACCAAGAUUUGAAUUUAAACUUUUUGUUUGGGAAGUACAAAUUCAUCAAUGCAAUCUAACCCAAUAUUACAAGGGCAAGUACAUUUUAGAACAAUAAUUCCAAGAAAGGAUGAACAAUCUUUUUGGUUCAUCACUGAAAAGGAGAAAGGAAUGGAAAAUGAAAUAAGGGAAAAAAGGAACAAGAACAAUAUUCUUUUUAAAAUGACUUAUUUUUGUUUUGUAAAGCUCUUGUAACAUGAGUAAGAAUAUUGUAAACAUCUUGCCAAGUAAAAUUUUCCCUUAAAUCAAACCUGUUGCAUGAGGACAAUUUGGGUGGCCCCCGUAUUUCACUUUUUGCUCUUCUAACUCAUAGACCAACCAAAAGAACUAAGAAAAUAUCAAAAAUUUUGUCCCCUCCCUUCCCCUCCCCUUAUUAAAGGGAACACAAAAGAGAACAGCCAAAUGUCUCAAAAAUGAAAUCAUAUCCUAAGCCAGUAUGCCAUGAUGCAGGGAUCAGGCAUUUCCAUGACAGGACCAACGAGGCAAUAGCUGAAGAAAGGUUUGAUAUAGCAUCCCUCAUAUAGAUCAUACAUUUUGCAAGUUCUAUUGACACAUUUCCAUAAAUCAAAUUCUAAAAUCCAACUCUUGAAAGAUGAAAAUAACAAUAAUAUGUAUGCAUCUAUAUGUAGAGUAAGAUAUUCUAUUUCCAGUAGAAAGCUUUGAUUUGUUAUCGUUCGUUUGGAAACUUGGUUGAAAGUUACAAGAUCCUUUACCAAUGAUGAAGAAUCUCUGAUAUUGAAAUUGGAUUCUUCAAUGAGGAGAAAAAAUAUAAUGAAUAUAGAAGUUAGCGUACCACUUAUAGUAUCAAAGCUUGUAUCCAAGAAACCAGCCUGCAUAGAACGGAAUUGAAGAAGUUUAUCUGCAACAUCUACCUCUGUCAAUAGCACACCCUUAAGGAUUUCUUCUUCCAGCCAGGACCAAAACUGUGCAAGAGCAGCUGCAUCCCUGAAGAGAAGACAUCACACGACGUGUACUUCCUGAGUUUUUUUUUUUUUGUUAUAUAUAUAUAUAUAGGUAAAAAGGCAAAAUAUAUUAAAAAGCACAUGGAAAAGGCGCAUCAAGUGCACAUGGAGUAUACAAAACGGCUGAGAGGUAAGAGAAGGAAAAACAUACAAACACUACCCAAUACAAAGGCAUGGCCUGAAGACAAGAAAAACAAAUGGCACCCAAGCGACCAACCAACAUGCAGCCAAAACAUAACUGCUAACACCAGGGGAAAAUAGAGUUAGUCUUGACCCAUCCUUCGAACCACUUUUCCCAACUCUAGCUUGAACCCUCGGAAACCACUUUCCGGCUCUUUCUCUCUUUGCCACUUCACUGGGAGUAGUUAAUCAAACUCUCCAACUUCUAAAGCUCCCUAUCAAAACGAGAUGUAGACAAGGGUCCCCCUUAGUACCUAAAGCCCACCCCUCUGCACCCCCCCCCCCCUGUGUAAGACCAUUUUUCUGCCUUCUAACUUCAUCAAAAGAGAGGCAAAUUCCUUCUCAAACCCAUCCACAGGCAAACCCAAAUACUCACUGAAGGAGACAAAAUUCAUGAGUGAAGAAAGAUUUCCAGCUCCCAUCAAGUCCUUGCUAGGGCUUUCCUUUCCCUAAACAGGGAUUUAAUGGAAGGCUCCUGAAAGGCUGAUGAGAUUUUGACCUGUCUAAUGGCCAAUGAGUAUCUAAAAAUCUCCUUAGAAACUCUGAUAGGAAAAAGGAUCUCCUUACAUAAUGCAUCCCAAGGAGAUUACACAAAGAGGACCAGAGAAUUAAGAAUAAACCAGAAAACAUUUUCUGUGAUAAAAAAGUCCACUGGAAUAAAAGCUACAAUGAAAAGCAAUAAGCUUAACUCUAUAGUAGCUCAUGCAGUAUUGACGAUAACUACUAACAAAAUAAUUCAUAUCUGCAAGAAAAAAAUUUCAUUGAUGUUCUGCUCCAAAGGACUAAUUGAGAAAAACAAUAAAUUGAACCAGUAAAUUAAUCCUUACUAAAUGCAUACAUCCUUGAUAGUUUCCAUAUUUAUUAUCCAAAACUACCAUAUCAACUCCAUUUUUAAAACUUAAAUUUUAAGGUACAGUAUAACCAACAUACUGUUUAAACAAAAACAUGAAUUAUGCCAUUAAGCAACAAUAAAUCAAUCCUUUCUGAUUUGCCAUAAAGGGGAUUACAAAAUAAAGCCUAGCUUAUUUAAAUAUUCGAUAUCCAGAACUACCAACAACUAUACUUUUUAAACUUUAAUUUAAGGGGCAUUAUCGUUUACAGUCUGACACUCAUUCCUGAGCUUAGAAACUUAAUAGCUAGAAGUUGAUAGCAUAAAUAAGUUUCCAAAUAGCCGGAGAAAUUCAACACAAAGAAAUCAUGUUCUGGGGGAAUAUUUGAUUCACCUUAGAUGAGAAUUGCGCAUCCCUUCCAAUUCAGCCUGAUUUUUCACAGCCUUCGCCAGCAAAAUAGGUGAAAUCUUAUAAACUCCAGUGGGCACCCCAGAUUGACCAUUGGCGACUCCAUAGGCCUCAGACUUAUUUUUCCUCUUAUUAUCAAGGCUCCCAGAAUACUGGUCACAAGCAGCCUCGUAGGUGUUGACAAUAGCAGCAUUAACAGAGGACGUAUCCAACCAGAGGUGUGCCCCUUUCGCUGCCAAACUGAAGAAGCAAAUCAUGUUUUAGUUAAUGAAAGUAUGAAAUCUGUCCAACCCACUAUAUGUUAGAUAUCAGGCCACUCUGAAAAAAAUAACCCAAUGAUGGCAAAUCCUUGGUGUUAUACACAAGACACAAAUGCAAUUAGCAUCUUUCAUGCACAAAUAUACUUGUUGCUAGUUUUAUUCACAGCCACUAAGUUGCAGUCCAACACCUUGUAUCAGCCUCAGAAAUUUUACACCAAUGGUAGUGUCCUAGCCACAGUUACAAACCUCUAGAGCACAUCCAAAGUUAGAGUCCGGUGAGACUCUGAGGUAUCCACUAUAUAUGGAAAAUAAGCUACUUUCAUAGGUACCGAAGUAGAAUAAUCACUUGAGCGUAACAAUAUGCAAGUGUUCAUCAACACUGCACAAAUUUUGACACUGACAAAAAGUUUUCAGCUCCCAAACUUACUUCUUUAUUUCAGCUAGAAUGGAUUCAUAUGGUCUCAACUCUAUGCCUGCAUUCUUCAAGUGAUCCAUCACUUCUGGGCUGACUUUAGAAUCAUCAAUAAAUAAUUUUGCCCCAUCAAUCUCCACAAUUAAGUAUGCAUACAUAACAGGUGAGUUUGGAACAUCAUUUCCUCUCUGCAAACAAAAUUGAGAGUAUUAUUUAAAUUAAAGAUUAAAGGACCAAAACACAAACCAUUUCUGAAUAAUAAAUCAUAAAAUUUGCCUUUAAUGAAUAGACCGGAUUUAAAAAAAUGAAAUCCCGUAUGCCAUAAAGGCGGUCCUGUAUCCUAGACUAAUUCUCAAGCAGCCAGCUUUGAACUUUGUUAAACAGAAUUUGAAACCAUCCCAGGGAUAGAAGUCGGGGUUAUUAUAACAUAUCUAAGAAAGUUGGUCAGAAGGAUUACCAAGUUUAACAGCCAAGAAACUUCAUCAAGCAUAGAAACAACAAUAGCAGAACAACCAGCAUCAAUGAGUUCAGACCUCAGGGAAGACAAUUUUGAUGAGACAUCUAAACCAGCAUAUGUCAGCUCAUGCACUCUAAUUGGUUUUCUUGGAGGCUCCGGCCUUGAUUCUUUCCAUAUUUCAUCCACAAGAUUUAAAUCAUAUAGGUAAACCAAUUCAUGAUUCUUCUUAGCAAUGGCCUCUUUCAAUUCCUCUGCAGCAUCAGAAGAAAAAAGAAACUGCUCCCUUCACAAAAUCAAAGAGAAGGUGGCAUCAGACAGAAGCAAGUAAAGAAUAAAAAUAAAAAAUAAAUUACUUUACAGCUAAUAAUUUUUUUUUAAAAAAGAAAAAAGGAUAAAAAUAGAUGCAUAAGAGAGAAGAAAAAUGAAUGAAUAAUUUUAAGCCAUCCAUUUGACUCAAAAGCCAAAGCUAUAAGAUAGUGGGCCUAUAAUGUAUGUUAAGCCAACUAGGGUUAAAGCACUAACACUCCACUCCACUACACAGGCAACCUCUUUAAGCUUGCUUGUAGGUUCAAUAAAUAGGGAAAAUAAACAAGCAGCUGGUUUGAACUCAUGGCUCCCCAAUAAUCAAGGUUUUGAAACUAUGUUUGAGCUAACAAAAAUGAAGGUAUACUAACAAAUAGUGCCAGUUAUCAAGAAGGCAGAGAUGAGAAUUUUUCCAUUAACUAAUUGACCUCCACUGGGACCAGCAAGGUUUGUCCCAACUAUUUGGGAUCAGCCAUAUCAAUCAAAGCACAGCUGAUCAAGGUAUGCCAAAUUCCUAGGAAACCAGCUGGUGACAAAAGAGGGGCCUACAAUGAACCUUGAUCAACACUAUUUGGUGCAAAAGGAAAUAAUGACACGCAUAAAGCAUGCUUCUGAAUGCUUUUUACCAAAUCCUGACAUAUGUAAAUGAUACAUCUAACACAGGCUUCAUCUUAGUGAUGAAAAGUAAGGGUUAAAAUCCACAUUUUCAAGGUAAAGAUAGUUAAAAAUAAAAAAUAAAAAUAAAACAUAUACUUCAAUCAGAAGCACAUAAUAACAAGAAGGAGCACCCUUUUUAGGAGGUCUGAAUGUUACUCACAGGAUCAAUGCCAAUUCUGCAACCAGGAGCCAAAACAUCAUUAAGCCAUUCACUGGUUGUAGGAACUCCAUAGUUACCAGCCCGCAUAAGAAUCCAAUUAGAGCUUAACUGCUUCUCUGCCUAGUCAUAACCAAGAGAGAAAAUUACCAAUAAAAUUAAUAUCCCUCAAGCUACAAGAUAUCAAAAUGUUAAUAAGAGAAAAAUAAAUAGAAACUACAAAAAUUUGACAGACCUCCCAAAAGUAAAAUAGAAAUAAAUAAAGCUUUGAGACCAUGAUAUAUAUAGCUAACUCAGCAGAAUGUCUAAAAAGUAAAUUUAUAGUUCUUUUUUCCCAAACCUGGAGAAAAUAACGCCCAUCUGUCCAAAGAGCUGCUUUAUCCUUUGUGACAACAGCAGUACCAGCACUGCCAGUAAACCCUGAUAUGUAGGCCCUCCUCAUAUAACAUUCAGCAAUGAACUCACUCUAGAAGCCAAAAUAGAAGUGCUUCAGAAUUAAAUAUCCAGUUGACUCAACGACGACAAGUACUAUGUGGUAAAUGGAACCAAAGAACAUGAAUCCAGAUAAACCUCCAAGUGGAACUGGAGGCUUAAUUUGUUCCCUUAGAAAUUGAAGGUAAAAAUAUCACUAAACAGAGAUGCAAUUAACAGUAUAAUGGUAAAAAGUAAGACAAGCAUUUUUAAUGGUAUUUCUUAGAAUCCUGAAAAUGAAAAGGAUUCAGGAUUAGGAUGCAUGCCCCAAGCUUGAUUUGCACUAAUCUGAGGUUAGGCUUAAAAUAGAAGUCAAAUGAGGGAUAGACCAGAUCUAUCAUUGGCCACGCAACGCUCAACUUAAAGAACUAUUUGGAUAAAAUUCCCAUGUUAUUAAAUUAUUGGAUUGUGUCAUUGUUGCAUUCAUAAAUUUAUCAAACAAGAACUCCAUGAAAAAUUUAAAAAGGUAUGUGGAAAAAUAAAUAUAAAAACAGACAUCAUGUAAUUCUAUAAGACAUUGACACAAGCCUUUUCAAAAUCUACCAUUAUUAGAAACUCCAAAACACCAAAUUUAAAAACAAUUGCUCAAAAUAGUUAAACCCAAUUAUAAUUCAGCAAUAACAGACCAUUAAAAACCCAGACAAACUGGUAAGUUAAUUAAAAAUAAUAAUAAAUUAAACCCAAUAAGUGAAAUUUUCUCUUUUCGGAUCCCAAGGAAGAAAGCGGUAAAGAUUACAGGCUUUAAUUUCUUCUCCUCAUAUAGUUUUUUUAUUAAAAGUCAAGUAGCUCCAAACCACCAAGAAAAGAACAGAAAAAAUAUAUUGAUGAACCCCCAAAAUCAAAAAGUUCAAAAUAAUGGCUCAAAACACUUAAAAAUGGUAGACAUGCCAAAUCAACGUAUCCUGGUUAAGGUUUUUGCAUGACUUGAAGCUAAUAAAAAGGUUGAUACCAACUGCUUGCUUCAAUUGAGGAGGCCCUACAAAGCUCUCAACCUGGACCAAUAUCUUAUGACUUAUGUGUUUGAAGAGUAAUGAAUCAUUUGAUCAUCUAUUUCUUCAUUGUACCAUAGCAUUGGAAUUUUGGCAUGGAUUGUUCCAUAUUGCUAUGAUUGAUUGGGUACCUCCUGGAGACAUAGCAAAGACAUUAGGAAUCUCUUUUAAAGUCUUUGGUAGCCUGACAAAAAGGGAAGAUUCUGAUAGGUAUCUAAUGAAGGAAAAAUUUAUUAGUGAUAUUAUUGAAUUUCAAGAACAGGGCCAGACUGAUACAAGAUAGCUAUUCGGGAUGCUAUCACUCUCCCCCCAAACUCCCAGAACAGCCAGCUAUCCUGACCAAUUCCAUAUUUUCCUAUUUAAGCUAUUCCAGCUUGUACCAAGAGUGUUACACAGCCUGUACAAGGACUGUUAACACUAACUGCCAGUUUGCAGUACACUUCUCUUCCCUUUUCUGGACUACACAUAACGUAUACGAGGCCUAUCAGAUUCUUUGGCAAUUGGCUAUCUUAUCCUUGAUGUGGUUUUUAUGGUUGGAGAGGAGUGCUAGGAUAUUUAAGGAUUGAUGGAGAUUUGUGGAGGCUAUUUAGGGUUCGAUUUACUCUUUCCAUUCCCUGUGAGCCUCAAUCACAAAGCCUUUUGUUGGUAUUCCUUUGUAUCUCAUAUAGCUAGAUUGGAAGAAUGUCUGCAACUCAAAGAGAUCGAAUAUGAAGACUUAUGAUUGGUUGGUACCCUCUCCUAUAGGUUCAUUAAAGUUAAAGUUUGAUAGGUGUUUUUUGGGAAAUCCUAGGCCAUUAGGUAUCAGAGGAGUCAUAAAAGAUCAUUCAGGAACAGUACUAAAAGUGUGCUCUAAACCUGCAGGAAUGGGUUCAGCUAUUGAAGUGAACAUAUUAGCAUUAUUUGAGGGCCUGGUGCAUGUCAAAGCUUUGUGCCGAUCCAAUCUAACUAUAGAGGGAGAUUUUAAUAUAGUAAUUUCUUUGGUGUCUAAAAAGGAGAGAGGCUAAUAGAAGUUCAAAAACUGGAUCCACAAAAUCAUACAUAUUACUAAUGAGGUGGGAUGCUCCUUCUCUUAGGUUUCUUGUUCAACUAAUGAAUCAUCCAGGCAAGAAGCAAAGCACUUGGUCUCCUGUGUUGGAGAUUUCCUACCCCUUGAGUGAAUAAAGUUUCUUUAGUAUAUAUACACUGUCUUUUCUUUUGUUUAUGUGGAUGAUUUUAGCUUUGGAGCAGCAAUUCUACAUCUUGGAAGGAUUGUUUAUCCUUCUCUGUAUUUACCAUUGAAUAAAUGAAUAUGUUUGUUUCUUAUUAGAAAACCUACAGACAGUAAAACAAGACAAACAAAAGAUUAUGAAGCAAAAUCAUAAAGUUGUACCUAACAAGUGAAGGUGUUUCAAAAUUACAAUUAUGUCCUAUUCCCAUCUUUUUUCAUAAGCCAAAAACUCCCAAUUGAAUUUUAACACUAAUUCACAGACAUAAUCAAUAAAAAUAAAUAAAAAAUAAAAAAUAAAAUUGAUAAGCACCAACAUAAUCAAUAAAAUCGCGAACUAAAAUUCAGAAACAGUGAUUUCUUAUUUUUUUUCAAUCUUUUCUAAGAAACCAAGUGAAUGCCACACAAAGUUCAACAUUAAAGCACCAAUAAAACUAUAAAACACACAUAACAUUCUCUUCUUCUUCGUCUUCUUCUUUGGGAAAAUAAGGGGAAAAAAGCAUGAUGAACCUGAUGACUGAAGCUUCCUGUUCUAUUAUUAUUUCUUUUCUUUUUCCUCAACUUUUCUCAAGACAAUUUCUUCCUUUUCCUACCUUUUCUCAAACAAUCUUUUUCUUUUCCCACCUUUCCUCAUAAACCAAACAAACCCCAAUACAACUCAACAUGAGUAUAGCAUAGUAAAAACUAAAACUUCAUAAUAAAUUAAAAGUUUUUAGUCAAUAAAGAUCAACAAGUACAAUUCAAAAUUUUAAUUUUAUUCCCUUUUCCUUCAUUUUCUAAACAACCAAACACCCCACUCCAAAUUCAACUAAAAAAAAAUACCAUUUCAAUCAUAAAACCCACAAUUAAAAAAAAAAAUGGAAAAGCACACACGCGCGAGUUGAACCUGAUUAGAGGAGGUUCCCCUCUCUGAAAAUUUUACAGUAUCUUUUUUUUUCCCACCUCGUCUCAGAAACCAGACAAACCCGAAUUGAAAAUCGACACCAACACGCCAUAAAAAAACACUACAAUUACACAAUAACUUAAACCAUUCAAUAAAAAUCGUGAUGCAAAAUUCAAAGUGUUAAUUUUUUUUUUUUCUUUGCCAACAUUUUCCGGCCAACCAAACAAACCCCACCAAAAAAUCAACAUGAAAUAGCCAUCAAAACCACAGAACCCGCAAAACAAACUACCGAGAAAACAUGAACUGAACCUGGUGGGCGUCCUGGGAAGGGAUAAUAUACGCAUCAAUUCCAAUUCCGGGCUUCGAGAACAGCUCACGCAGAGAACGAAGCUUCUCAUCCUGCUCGGAAUCGGCAGAUUUCUUCCGAAACUGAGAAGAGGGUUUUGCGGUAAUGGAAGCGCAGUUUCGAACAAGGAAAAUAGGGCGGUUCUGGGAUUUUGGGCAGAAACUGUGGGGACUCUUGAAUUUGUAGAAAAUGGGAAGCGAGUGAGAGAGGAAAUGGAGACAACGGGGAUGCAGCUGAGAAGAACGAGGAGAGAAAGCCGUAGAGAGGGUGAGAGGAGACAUCAGUGAUGAUGCUGUUGACCGCAUGGUUGCUAAUUCAGAGAGAGAGAGAUAAGGCCUCUGCGAGAGAGCCAAGGAUGCAGCACUCCUGGGAGGCGGGGAGAGAAUCCAAGAAAUUUUGGUGUUUGGACAGAGACCCAAAACGGUGCGUUUUGAGGAUGCUCAUAAAACGGUGUCGUUUCCUUUAGUAUUUCCUUAGAAAAAAUUUCCCAAUAUUGUACCCUUUAAAAAUGAAACAAAUAUUAAUUUUGCAUCAUCCACUAACAUAACCAUUAAUGUUUUGAUACAUUGUAUUUGUAUAUUAAGAAAAUACAAAAUAAUAAUAUUUUUAUUUGGAUUUGUUAGGAUAUUUUUCCUAUUUUUUGUUUUCAAAAAUAAAAACUUUUAUAUAAAAAUAAAAAUUAUUAUACAAAAAUAUAUAUACUUAUCUUAUGUCCUUAAAUUUUAAAUUUUAUUUUUAAAAAUAAUUAUAGCCAUGUUUGGCAACUGUUUUUGAAAACAUGAAAAAUAGUUAUUGAAAAUCAUGUUUAAAGAUUGUUUUCUAUUGUUUUAUAAAAUAAAAAUCUAUUUGAAAACCCACUUUUAACAUAUUUUCAAAAUUUUAAAAUAUGUUUGUAAAUGUUUUAUGUCUAGAAAAAAAUGUGAUCAAUUGUAUCAUGUCGUGUAUGCAUAUUUAGUUUUAUUACUUUGCAUUAAAUAUGAUCCCAUUAUAUUUUAAUAUGGUUUUUUUAUAGGGUUUAUUAUACUUUAUCCCCUCGCAAACAUAUACCAUGUUUUGCAUAUUAUCCCCUCAAAUUUAAAAUUGAGCAAUAUAUCAAUCAUGCUUUAUAAUGGUAUGUAUUGUACAUUUUUUGAGUUAUGACAUUACAUUUUUUUAUGGAAUGACAUAUGAUCUUCGCGUUAUUAAAGGUAAAAUUGUCAUUUUUCUCAAUCUGCAAUCUUCAUCUCCCCCGUCAAUGAUUUCUUCUCUUAUUGCAGUUGGUGAAGCCCCAUAUCGAAGUCCUCCCCCUAUUCUUACUUCCCUUCAAAGCCUUAAAAUCUCAAUCCCACAAAGUUGCUACCAAAAACCCCACAUAAAUUCUUCUUGUCCGUUGUUCCUCUUUGUUCAGGGGUUUUUAGUAGCAACUUUGUGGGGUUGGGUUUUAGGGCUUCAAAAGGACAAAAGAAUAGGGGAGGAGGGCCUCAACUUUGGGCUUUACCAACAGCAAUAGAGGAAGAAACGAUUGAUGGGGGAGAGGAGGGUUGCAAAUUAAGGUUAAAAAUAUGAUGAUCCUUGCCCUCACUUCUUAAAAAAUGACCAAUUUGCCCUUGUCACACGGAGAAGAUAUGCCAUUCCCUAAAAAAAUGUUAAAAAUACACAUCGUAUGGAAUUAUAAAGUAUAAAUGGUACAUUAUUCGAAUUUGAACUUGAUGGACCAAUGUGCAAAAUACAGUAUUGGUUGGGGGCAAAGUGUAAUAAACCAUUUUUUAUAUAUAUAUAUUUGAUUUUUUAUUUGUUUAUAUUUUCAAUUUUGGUCAUGAUUAAAACUUUGGAACCUAAAUGGAUACCUAAAAUGUUCCUAAACUUAUGUAUCUUUUGUACAUGGGCAUAAAAGUUGUAAUAGAAAGGAUAACAUUCACUUUACUUUUAUAAAGGUAAGCGCGUUGAAACGCAGCGUUUCGGGAGGGCUCAUACCCACAGUCCCACUUGAGCAGAGUAUCGUGGUGAUCGCCAGAUUCGCCACUGAUCUUCGACCUUGACCUCAACCCCCUGUUGUUGCCUCCGCAGAGCUCCGACCCCACAUCAAUGGCGAUCAUAACUGAAGAAAUCGACGAAAACCCUCGUUCUAAACCGACCCGCGAAACCCCUAAACCAACCCAUAAAACCCCCAAACCACCCCCAACGUCAACCUCACCAAAUCCAUUCUCCUUCUGGUUUUACUUCACUCUCUCAGUUUCUCUUGCCACUUUCCUCUUCUCCUCUCUUCCUUCUCUCUCUCCCCAAGAUCCCAAAUCAUGGUUCCUCUCUCUCCCCACCAACCUCCGCCACCACUACUCCAAGGGUCGAAUCAUCAAGGUCCAGACCGACGCACACCAUCCCCCAUUUGAAGUCUUCACGGUCCAAGAAGGCGCCAAAGCAUCUGAGAAUGUAGUGAUCGUUCACGGUUUGGGGUCUAGUUCGUAUGCCUUUCGCAAUGUUAUCCAAUUUUUGGGGUCCAGAGGGGUUCAUGCUGUUGGUGUUGAUCUCCCUGGUUCUGGGUUUUCUGAUAAAUCGGUGUUGGUGGAGGAAAUGGGAGAUGGUGGGGUUUUAGGGAGGUUUUCGGAGGUUUAUAGUCUUAUUCAAGAAAAGGGCUUCUUUUGGGCUUUUGAUCAUCUUGUUGAAACUGGGCAGAUGCCAUAUGAGGAAAUUCAGAUUCAGGUUUCCAAGAGAAAGAGUGUUAAAGUAUUGGAAUUGGGCCCUGAAGAAAUGGGUAGGGUUUUGGGCCAGGUGAUAGAUUCACUGGGGUUGGCUCCAGUGCAUCUUGUUCUGCAUGAUUCUGCAUUAGGAAUUUAUGCGAACUGGGUUUCGGAGAAUUCGGGUGUGGUGAGGAGUGUGACGCUUGUUGAUACCAUGCUAGGGGCCUCGGCUUUGCCACUAUGGCCACUGGGCGUCCCAGUGGUUAGGGAGGUGGUACUUGGGUUUGAGUUUGUGUUUGCAAGGCUUCUCAACUUGUGUUGUGUGCGAAAGAUUCCUAUUUCAGAUGUGGAGGCACAUAGAGUUCUUUUGAAGGGUAGGGAUGGAGCUAGAGCAGUUGUUGGAACAUGGAAGAAGUUGAAUUCUAGCUUUGAUUUGCAGGAAUGGGGUGAUUCGGAAGGGUUGAAAGGUUUGCCAGUGCAAGUGCUUUGGUCUAGUGGUUGGUCCAAAGAAUGGAGUGAAGGGGGCCGGAAGGUUGCUGAUGCGCUUCCACAUGCUACAUUCAUCACUCAUUCCGGUAGCAGAUGGCCUCAGGUAAUGAUUUAAUAUUUCCUAUUGCCAUUGCCUGAUGUUCAAUGUAUUUGAUGAAACCAUAAGUUUCAAACUCUAGGCUCCAUUUGGCUGAAUAUCAGAUGAUUUGUUCUAAAAAUUUAUAGAUGAGAUGAUUAUGUAAUUAGUUUAAAAUAAUUUGACUUGAGAAUAAAGUGGAUUAAACUCUUGUAUCAAAUGGAUCAUUUAACUACACAUUGGCUUCUGGAGUAGAGUAGUUUCACUGUAAUGCAACUGUGCUACAAUUGAUUGGUGAGUGAGGCUGAUUCUUGUAUGGUCCUGAUUGGGAAAUGGUGUAAUAAAUGGUCCUGAUCAGCUUUACCAGUUAUGUAGUCCCUACAAAAUCAAUGCGCUGCCAGGAGAUCCGGAUCAGUUUCUGAAUGCAACUUCAGUGAAGAAUGACAAUUUGAUAGUUAAAACUGUAUUGCUAAAUGUUUAGGGUUGAAACCAUUGAAGUUUGUUGCUGCAUUUAGAUGUUCUUUGCAUAUUAUGUCCACCAAAAGUAUUGUGUUGGUGACAGAUUUUGGAUUUGCCUUGCCAAUCAUGUCAUCCAAAAUAAUUGAGGAAUGGAAGAUUGUAAAUCUGUAAUAUAGAUCUUUCUGUCCCAACAUUUGCAGUGUUGAUUGAAUUUUGAAAAAGUUGGAAAAGACCAGCAACAACAAUUUUUCAAGCCAGCAAUUAGGUUGGCUGAAUUCUAGCUACUUUUGUGAUGUGAUCAAAAGAAAUGUUUGUGCCGUUUGUUUUAGCCUUUUGGUAUUCUAAGCAUUUUAUAACUAAUAGAUUUUUGGGUUGGCCUGUGGUCUCCUUUUUGACCUUUUCUGUACUCAUGUUUGAAUUCUUUUUUUCUCUCAAGAAAGUCCUCCUUUCCUUUCAUCUUCCCAUUCUUAAUAAAAUUGCCAUCCCUAAGAAAAGGAAGAAAAUCAUUGCCAUAAUAGAUCAUGGCUCCCAUCAUUCUCUUGGAAAUUAUUGUAACAUUUAUCCCUCCAUUUUUCUAGCACUUUAGGGCAUUGUUUUGGUUUCAGGCUGUGGUUAGUUGUUUGUCUUUUCCUUUGCUUGCAUUUGGACCUUUUUGUAUACAUCGUGUGUACUUGGUGCACCAAUUCCAAGUGCUUUUAAUAUAUUUAUUUAUUUACCUAUUUAGAAAAAAAAAACAUUUAUACAGAAGAAACUGUUUCCACCAUUUUUGUUUGACAUGGUCCAUUGUGAAGAGAGGCAUAUCCAUCAACCCACCUGCUUCCUUUUGUACAUUUCCAGUUUUCUAUCCGAUCUCAUCAUUUCAUUUUCUUUUUAUAAGUAAUUUGCAUAAACAUAUGUCGACACAAGUAGUUGGGAUAAGGUGCUUUUCAGUUGAGUUCAUUUUCUGCAAAUGGAUCGCCCAAUUAAAAACAAAGAAAUCAUAACCACUGAUCAAUUCAAUUCAUUUUUAGCUUUUAUACUUUCUUUUGUUGAUUGAGCUAUUGAUAGAUCAGGAAACCACUGCACUAAUCCUAUUACUGGUACAUGUUGUUACAUGUGCCGUUGUCUGCUUGCCAUGUUUGAGGCUCUUGCAUUCUGUAACCGAUGAACAUGACCUGUACAACUCAAAGCCCUUUGCUACCCAAUAUAAAAGACAUGUCAAAACUCCUAUUAUGCUCAUUUCUUUAAUCUAGGCAGAAACAAUUAACUUUGUGUUUGCCUGAAACUAGCAAUCCAUUGUUCUUGUAAUCAUAUAUUUUUUAUUACUGUAGCUCCAAUAUUUUGUGUUUGAUCAUCUCAGGAAGAUGCAGCUGAUGAGCUGGCCGAAAACAUUCUUCGAUUUGUGUCCUCGUUACCAAAAUCUGUCAGACAAGUUGAGGAAGAGCCUGUGCCCGAGCAUAUCCAGAAGAUGCUCGAUGAAGCACAAGGCGGUGACCAUCAUCACCAUCACCAUCACCAUGAUCAUGGUGCCCAUGGUCAUGCUCAUGAUCAUUCAGACGGUUACAUGAAUGCAUAUGGGCUUGGUCAUGGGUGGGCGAGUUGAUCCAUUUCCUACUAACAUUCACAAGUGAACCCUACCAGGCAUGAGCUUCCCUCAGAUCCCUGGGUGUUGCUUCUCUGGUAUCAUACUGUGCCAUUCUCUUCGAAGUUCUCUAUGCCAGAAUCAUAGUGAGAGAGAUUGUUGUUUUGAAGCUUUGAAGCUUUUGACUUAUCAGUGAAUGUUUGUGAAGACCAGCUUAUCUAUCAAAUUGGGUAGUCUUCUGAUUUAUCUUCACUUACAAGUUACAUCUAGUUUGUUGUUUUCUGUACUUUGUAAGUUUGUAACUAAGCUCUUUGGUUGCAAUGAGACACUGGUUGACUCAAGCUUGUCUGGAUUCUAUUAUUUCUGAAAGUGUGAUACCCAUGAUUUUGGAAUGAUUAUGAUCAUCUAUUUAUAUUUAUUUGCUCGGACUAUGUUUGGUUCUGGAAAAAUUGAGAGAAAAUGCGAGGGAAAGAAAAUAUAAAGAAAAAAAUAAAAUAAAAAACGUAAAAUCAAUAACUCAUUUUUAUAUACUAUUUCAAAGUGAUUUCACAUAUUUUAACUACAAUGCUAACUUGGUAGGUUGGUUGGGUUGAUGGUUAAUGUGAAACUAAUAUGAAUUAAAAAAUAAUCAAUUCGAGUCUAACACAAUCCGAGGUAUUUGAUCCAAGGUUAUUUUUUUAGUUUUCAUGUUGUAUAAAUCAAAAUUUAUUCAUAAUGUUUUUCAAAAAAAAAUACCAAUGUAUUUAUAUCCAAUUUCAAAUAGUAAAGAGACACAAUUCCAAAAUAGUAAAAAAAAAAAAAUUACAUAUAUUUUCAAAAAAAAUGAAAAAUGUACAUAUAUGAUUAUAGUUUAUUAUUUAAAAAAAAUCUAAAAAUUUAUGAGAGAAUAAAAAUUUAUAAAUAUUAUAAAAAUAUUAAAUCAGUUGGUUAGAUUUUGGUUGUCUAAACCUUAAUAUAAACUCAACUUAAAUUAAAUUCCAGUUGAAAAAACUUAAUUAAAAGUCGACUCAAGUAUUAAAAAUUAUUUUCUUAAAUUAAAUUCGAGUUGAAAAAACUUAAUUAAAAGGCAAUCAAAGUAUUAAAAAUUAUUUUCUGAGCUCGUCUAGAGAUAGGAUUUAAUAUCAAGUAUUGCAUCCUCAAUUUCACUUUUUUUAAUAUAAAAAUAAAUAAUUUUUAAAAUAUUAGUUUUAAAUUUAUUUUAUUCUAUUUUUUGGUAUUUUCUAUAGUUGAUUCAAACACGAGAAAAUAAUUUUUUUAAUACUUUCUUAAAACCAAAUAUAAUACUACCUUAUGUAAAGUUGAAAUAUUAGUAAUAUUUCAAUUAUAUUUUGGAUAAUUUUUUUUUCUUUAUAAACAAAAAUAGUUUUAACUCAUUAAUCAUAUAGAAGACGUUUGAUAAUGAUUUUAGGAAGUGUUUUAAGUUUUUUUAAUACUUUAAAAAUAAAAAUUUCCCAAGUGUUAAAAAAUGUCAAAAACACUUUAUAGAAUCAAUACCAAAUGUAGUCAUAGUAUGACUCAAAAUCGAAAAAAAUAUUUAAUCAAAUGAGAUUUAUCUCAAAAAGAAAAUCAAUUCAUUAAUUACAACUAACAGAAUUGAUUACGAACAAAUAAGAACAUUUUUAAAAAUAUUGUAGAUAUGGACUUUUAUCUUAUAUCUAUUGAUUAUAAAAAUAAGAAUGACUCUUGUAUUCAUGGAUCAACAUUACAACUAAAUAAUCGUUGACAGAUAGGAGGUUGGCCGCAUUCAUCAACUCUCUUUGUAUUCGAAUGUCGUAGGGCGUUUUGAUGAAUAUAUUACAAGGUAAGGAUAUGCAUUUUUUGUGACAAUAAUUGUUUUUAGCAUAGUUGGUAGCGGUUAAGGUCUUACAAGUGGUAGUAAAGUUAAAGUCAUGAAUUCAAACAUUAAUGGUUUAGUUCGAGGAGAGAUUAUUGGCAGAUUGAAAUAAUCACCCAAUAUAAUUCUUAUAAUCACAAUACACAUCCAUUUUUGCUUUAGAAAAAAGGUCGAUAUCAAGGUAUGAAUCAAUAUAUUAGUAUCAAUAGUAAUAAAAAUACAAGAUGGAUUGAAUAAUUAAUAAGAAAGAUAUGUUUUAUCAAGUUAAGAACAAUUUCAAUGCAUUUGUUUUUUCAAAUAAUUAAUGUAUCAAAAUAUACAAAAUAAUAUACAUUUGAUACUAAGAAAAUGAAUAAAAAAACAAAUUAUUUUUGUAGAUCAUCCGAUGAAUAAAACGAAAUAGACUAAAUACAAACCGAUGCAAAUAAGAUAAUUAUGAUUGAAUCAUUAGAAUGAUUCCAAGUUUCACCUUAUUUAACAUAAUCAUUUGCUUUGAAUUUUAGUUAGGUGUUAAAGUAGAAAUUAUAUUAGUAAAGAAUUCUCAUAUAAGUUAUAAAAAAAAGUUAGAAAAUAUGAUAUCUUAAAAAAUAAAUAUUUAUUUUUACUUUUAAAUAGCCAAUAAAUUAAAUUCAAUAAAAUCCUUGAGGAAUUUUCAAAAUAAUUUCCUGAGGCCCGGUGCACCAAAGGGAUGGUGCACCGGAUCCACCGGACAGUCAAAACGGACGUUCCUGUUAUCGAUAUACCACUUGACUGAAGUAAGCCAGCGUCCAUGUAUCUCGUUCCUUAAAUCCUCUGUUUGGCUCUCUAGAGAAUUGGGGAAAAAAUGGAAAAUUUUUGACUCGAUUCUUUCGGCUCUAUCUGUUGCAGGCAACCCAUUUUCUCGGCGUCCAAACGGACCUCAAAAUGGGAUGUUGCGGCGAUGAAGAAGAGGAAUUCCUCAAACACCUCAUGCCCAACUUCUCUGAAACCCUAACCUUAGGCUCCACCUUCCAAGCAUCCACUUCCGGCGACUCCGACGCCGUCAUUUCUGCGAUGAACUCGCACUUCUCGGCCCUCACCUGCCAGGACGUCCUCAGGGGCAUUUUCGAGAGGCUUCCGGUUGCCGAUCUAGCUCGGGCGAGUUGCGUGUGCCGAGUCUGGAACUUGGUGGCCUCGGACAGAGGGAUCCAGGUUCGAGCUUUUAGGGCUCCGUGGAAAUUGAAGGACGUGGUUGGAAUUCCGAGCUCCGGAAGCUUCUGGAGAGAUGAUAGUCUUGGAAAAUUUGCAAUCUCUCAUCGGUUGGUGCGCGGUGACUCUGUUGCUAGCCUUGCCGUGAAAUACUCUGUUCAGGUAUUGUUUGGUUUUCUAGAAAAUGAAGGAAAAAACGAAAAGAAGCCAAAUGUUCUGGUUGUUAGACUAAUGUAUUUGAUUUUGAUUAUUUUCAAUGCAACUGGAAUAUGGGAUUCGAACUCAGAAUUUUCUUUUUUUUUUCUUUGAUUUCUCAGCUACCAAGCGGACAUUAUCUCUCCAUUUGGUGGUUUAGUUAAUUUAGUUCAGAUAUCAAAUCCGAUUUGGCUGUUUGGCUGCUGAGAUAGCAUGGAAAAGAGAGGAAUUUAGAAUCUUCUAUUGUCCAUUCAUUGCUUUGAUAAUGAAGGAGCACAAAUAAAAUAAAAUAAAAUAAAAUCGCAUAGAAGCAUUUUAACACUAGUAAAAAGAAGGUCUAUGCAAGAUGAUACCAUACUAGAUAUACAUGCGUACUGCAAGAUCAAUGAAUGUCACAACCCACUUCUGCAAUAAUAUUUCGAAUUAGGGAACUUAUAAGAUAGUUGGUGAGUACUGGCUUGCCCAAGUGGUUUACAAACAGAUGCUAAGUGUUUCUUAGGGACCUUAAAAUGCAUGAAAGCAAGCUGUUAUAGCAGAUCAAUGGUCAUACAACUUUGCUUUGGGUCAGUUUGUAUUUGGGAGGGCUUCUUCACGCCUUCAAGUUUGAUUUGGGGGUUUCUAGCUAGCUACACAGUAAGUUGGGUGAAAGGGUAGGAUUGCAUGUCUUGCACUCUUUCAGCCUUAUUAUGAAGGUUAUUACCUGAUGCUGAUACCAUUAAAACAGGGCCCCAGGAGACACAAGUUAAAUAUGGUCCUAACCUUUGGCAUUUUUCAUGAUGUGGUUUCUCUCAAUACUCAAGUCUCUGCAUCUUUUGAUUUCUUUUAUAAGCUAAUUAGGGUUUCUAGCUAGCUACACAGUAAGUUGGGUGAAAGGGUAGGAUUGCAUGUCUUGCACUCUUUCAGCCUUAUUAUGAAGGUUAUUACCUGAUGCUGAUACCAUUAAAACAGGGCCCCAGGAGACACAAGUUAAAUAUGGUCCUAACCUUUGGCAUUGUCCAUAAUGUGGUUUCUCUCAAUGCUCAAGUCUCUGCAUCUUUUGAUUUCUUUUAUAUGCUAAUUGGGGAAUGAUGGUUUUCCAUCCGAGUUGGAAGUAGAUUGAUGGAGAAUUGGCAUGGACAGGCAUACAGUGGAUUGAAUUGAAGAAAUGAUCAGGUAUUAAAUCCCUAGAUUUGUUGAUUAUGGUCCAUUUGGGGCUAGAGCUAGAGUUGUAGAGAAGCCACAAACAAACCAUAAAUCCGCAUGUAGGGAUUUGAGAAAGUAGGGGAAAGAGAGUCUGGUGGAGAACGUCAGAAUAACAAGCUAGGGUUUGUGUGAGCAUUAAUUGCCUCUUUAAGCUUCUUGAGAAAUCUGUUAAGAUGACGCUCUUGGGCUGGGAUGAGUCUUUGUGGGAAAAAAGAGAAGGGAAGUUUGGAGAGCAGACCCUUUAUGUAUUUUUUGGACGGUUUUGAAGACAAAGAACAAAAUUGCAUUUGAAGAUAAUGUGCUGUCCAUUCAAAGACUUAAGAGCUCUUUUGUUUAUUUUCUAUGGUCGGAGACGAAAUUAUUCAUAAAAGAUGGUCCUUUGACUUUAGUUGGUUUCAUUGAUUGGGUGGGAUCUCGAUGAGGGUGGUUUUUUUGGCUCCUCCGCUUUUGAUGGCCGUUUUUUUGUCCCAGCUGGGGUGGGGGGUGCAUCUCUUCUGAAUUUUUUUGAGUUGCUAUUUUAGCGUCUCUUUUCUAUACAAUUUCUUCUCUUUUACUUAUAUAUAAAAAAAAAAAGCUUCUUGAGAAAUCUGGGAAAAGAAAGUUAGAUGAAGAAAGUGGAAAUAAAUCAUUACGGUCAGUAUGAAUGCCAACAGGUAAGAUUGGGGUUUGAGGGAAGAAAAAUGCUCAUAGGAGUUUGAAAGCUAGGGGAAAGAAUGUUGAAAACUAUUGAAAUUGACCUCAGGUAAAACUUCAUUGGAAUAUUGUAUAUAAUACCUAUCAAAAAACAAAAAAAUUGUAAAUAAUAGUAUUGCUACAUGUUAUUCUGACAAAGGGAUUUAAAAUCCUCAAUAAUAGCUUCUAGAUAAAUCCAGCCUCUUGAACUUAUCUAGUAAGCUCUAGGGUGCAACCAUACAAGAACUAAUGCAUCAGAUCCCAUGAGAACUCAGCACAGUGUGCUUGGCCAAGAGUGUUGCUUGGGAGGGACAUCCCAUAGGAAGUCCUCAUUUUGACCCCUUCAAAGUGGAAACGAUAGAAACAAUAAUGUUUUUUAAUAAAUAAAUAAAUAAACCUAAGCUAGUAACUUUCUUCCUUUGCCUGGGUGGUGUCAUCUAUCUACUUUGUGCAGGUGGUCUGGGGUCUGAACCUCCAUGAGACUCCUCCAUGAAGGUGUGUGUAAUAGAAUACCUCCAUUAGUGGUGAGAAUAAUUGAGAGAGAUGGGAUUUUUGUGUUGGCUAGUAAUAGUUAAGAAAUGACUGGAUGAAAUCAAAUUACAGGGUUGAAUAAGUUAAUAUUCUUAUAUAAAUUUGAAAGAUAGAUGUUAAUUCAAAAGUGCAAUAUUUGGCACAGCCUCGUUACUUGUUUUUUGUGUUAUCCCAUUUUUCUUAGAGGCCUUAACAUUGACUGUAGCAUGCUGAAUGAUUCAAUGAUGGAGAUCAGUCUUCCCUGUUGUGGCAACUUUUGUUCCCAUAGUUAUACAUUCCUUGAUUGCACAGAGAUUGAUUUUCUGCUAUCAUUUUCCACUAUUUAGAUUUUCACUUCUUGAAGGAAAGCUUCUUCGUUUACCCCCUUUUGUUGUUAACCAGAAGAAUGCAUUGCUGUCCUGAAAACAUUUUUCUUGUGUUUGCAGGUUAUGGACAUAAAACGUUUAAACAACAUGAUGAGUGAUCAUGGCAUAUACUCGAGGGAGAGGUUACUGAUCCCUGUAAGCAAACCAGAUAUUCUUAUCAAUGCCAUCUGCUACAUAGAGCUGGAUUCCUAUGCAAAAAGGGAAGUAGCGG